rnacentral:lncRNA from 1 species
UUUUUAUUUCUUAAUUUUCUCAAGAUAGACUAAUUGACAAUUGAAUAUCCACGGAAAAAUUACUGGUAGAUGUGUAAGUAUGUACGUAUAUUAGUUUCAUGUUGAUUACUUAGUAAUAUGAAUGAGGUGAAUUACAUACCUUGUAGAGGACAACAUAUUGGGCACUGAGUUGGAAUUGGCGGAGGGCUGGGAGGGUGAGGCUGUUGAGGGUACUAAUGCGACCAGCUUUAGGGUUGUAGAAGUCAGCGCGUGAAGGGCGAGCAAUGUUCUCGUGAAGCUUCAAGGUGCAGAUAUUUUCCUCAACCCCGUUUCUUGUCUCGCAUCCUCUUUCACGUGGUUCUUCUUGUCUAGGUCUUCUGGGUUGUGUCUUUUUCGAUCUCCAUUCGCGGCUCUUGCGAGGUUGAUCUUCAUCUUCAUCUUCGUCCUCGUCCUGGUCCUGGUCUUGUUCACGCUUUCCUUGGCUUGGUCGACUAGGACGAGGUUUAUCUUCAUCUUCGUCCUCGUCCUCGUCUUGUUCACGCUUUCCAUGGCUUGGUCGGCGAGGAGGGUGAGAGGGAAUUUGUUCAUCUUCAUCAUCUUCGUCUUCAUCUUCAUCUUCAUCUUGUUGUUCUUGCCACUUGGGGCUGAUAACGCUGAGACCUCCUUCCACUGUCACGAUCUGCUUCCUUUCGUCGUCUGGAGACUGAAGUUUCUCAGCUAUGUCCUCGUUGGUGUUGAAGGAUUGUGCCAAGAAGUGUUUGCUGAAGCCACUGAGCACGCUGCCACCUUCUUCCUCUUCCUCCUGCUGGUGUUGCCCCUGCUUGCGUCCACCAUGACUUUUCUGCUGUUGUUGUUGUUGCAUGGUCUCUGGGUACUCUAUAUCUGGGUUCCCAGCAAGGUAAAAUACCUGAAAGUGAAAAAAUUAACAAGUGAGGAGAACAUGGUUUUUGUUAAUAGUAAAUGAAAUUGAAUUGAUAAUUACCCUAGGGGUUUGAUCAAGCUGGUUAUUGAAGUUAGAGGUGUCAAGAAGACUGAUGGCAACAACUGGUUCAUCGCCAGUGUUAUAGGUCCAGUAAGGAACACCAGGAGGAAUCACGAGUACGUCUCCUUCAUUGAAGUGACGAAUCUUCUGGUGACUGUCCUGUAGCUGCUGCUUCUGCGACCUUGAGCCUCUUCUGUUUGAUUGUUCUUGUGGCUCCUCAAACGUCUCAGGACAUCCUGGAAUUGCAACUCCAAGUGCUCCUUUCCCUGUACAUCAAUCAUCACCAAACAAAACAAUCACAUUUUUAUUUAAUCAGAUAUCUUAGUUGAUAUAUAUAACUUAAUAAAACUUUUAAGGUGAUUGAUAUGUCAACAAAGUCAUUCUAUAUAUAAUAAUAAUAAUUUGUAGUUAAAUAAUCAUGUAAAAUUUACUAUAGAGAUACUAUUUACUUAAAUCAUUAUUAUCUUUAGUAAAUGAUCUAUGGUAAUGUGAUGUUGAAAUUUGAACAAGUGGUGACAAAUGGAUUAAUAUACACUGAGAAAUGCUGGUGAUACUCUUUCUGAUAUGUGUGUUAGAAGCACUCCUUAUAUAUGAUUACCUUGGGCGAUGAUGAUCAUCCGGGGAUAAGGUGAGUAAGAUGGCAAGUGGAGGCCAUUGCGGUUGAGGGUGAGUUUGGAAACAGUGACACCGGCGCAUUUCAGCUCAGGGUGUUGAGAGUUCCAUGUUUGAAUCAAACCACCUUCGGACUCAACGCGGUGGUCGGGUUCCAACGCGUUGAGGUUGUUGAGUUGGCACUCGUUGAGCUUGCUGGAGCUAAUAGCAAAGCAUGCACUCGACAAGAGUAGCAAGCAAAGGGAAGAAAGAGAGAGAGUGAAGGGCUUCCCCAUAUUGAACUAAGGAAGUGUUAAUAAUUAAGUUUGAAGGAGUUGGUGAAUUGGAAAGAACAUGAGGAGUGGUGAUUUAUAGGUAUGAGAGGAGAGUGACUGAGGGACACGUCAAUGAAUAAGGGUUGCUGAGUUUGUGACAUUCUUCACCUUGCAUGGCUAUUGUUUCCAAUUUUGUUACACCUCAUACAUAAGCAUGCAUGCUUCGUUUAUAUUUGCAAUGGUACAAUGAACAACACCAAAAUUGGAGGCACUCUGAAUGGUCCCCUCCUACAGAUUCUCCGCGUCUCAAAGUCUAUCCUCUUAUACAAUAUGAGAAUAUCAGAUCAAUAUUGUUCUAUUCAGUUCAUCAUGUAUAUUUUUAUACAAUUUCGUUUAUAAAUGAGAUAAGCUGAUUAAAAAUGUGAAAUAAAAUAAAUAAUAUUACAGUAAAAGAUAAAAGAAAAAGGUUAUAGAAACUGUUAAAUAUUUUUCUUAUAACCAUUAGUAUAUAUCAUCGAUCUUUCAUAUGAUGCGUUAAUUAUUAAAAAACAAAUCCACAAUAUAUAAUCUUUGCCUGAAUCCUCCAGCAUAAUUGUCUCUGUAAAGAUAUAUAUUAAAUACUAUGGUGUGUUAAGAAUCCUUCUCAAUUUGAACUGUUUUACUGUGCAUUUUGUCAGUACUAUGAUCUUAUAUUGUAUAGUAACGGCGCCUCCUCUUUUCCCACUCAAGACUCAACGUUUGUAAAUAAUGAUUUUUUCUUCUGCAUUAAGUAUAUUUUCAGUUGAGAGAUGAAUCCUUAUUACAUGAAUAAUUAUAACUAUAUACAAAUUUUCUCUUUUAUUUUUCUCUCUUUUCUUAUCAUAUUAUUUAGUACAUUUUAAUAUUUCUCCCUUUUCUUUUUUAUAUCUCUCUCCCCGAAACAAUUAUCUUUUUAAAAUUCUCUUAAAAAAAUUGAAACAGAUAAACAAUUAUUUCUUUAAAUUGAAGAAACAUUUAGUAAGUUUAAUUUCAUGCAUUACUAGAUAACUAGGAAGAGCACUCAAAAUAUUCAGAGAGGAUGAGAAGGUGAGUACACGUAUAGAGGGUAACAGCUCUUCUGCACGUGUGCAUAUGCAUGGCUAUCAUAUGAUAUAAAUUACGUACACGUGCCUCCCUUAUUUUAUUCGGAUAGUGAAUUUGGGCUACAGUCUAAAAAAUACAGAGGCGUCGAUUUUAUGCGUAUAUAUAUACGAUUGAUCGGUGGAUCUAGCUAUCUGAGUAAUGUUUGGAUUACAGGAUUAUAUAAGUGAGAGACAGAGAAGCAUGAAUAAUUGAUUAAAGACUGGGACCAUGUCUGAACUAUUUUAUUCAAUACAAGAGGAAUAAAUUAAUGUUAACAGUGGAUCACAAAUUUAGUGAUAAUUUUUCAAAAUUAUAUAUAAAUUACUUCGUUACUAAUUUUAUUUUUUCUUAAAAACUCACUUAGAAUUAUUCAUAUAUUGAAUUUUUUAUAUACGAUUAAGUUAAAUACUUUAAAAAUAAUUAUUCUUCAUACUAAUUUUAUUUAACUUAAAUAGGAUUACCUCCUCUUAUGAACGAUAUCAACCCUUGUUAAACUUUAAAAUAAAAAACUUUAACAAUAUUUUAUGCUAUCGAUUAGAUGAUGAGCAUGCAUGUUAUAUAGUUGAUAGACACAAAUUUUACUAGAUUAAAUAUUUUUUAAGUCCUCAACGUAAGUGUCCUUCAUUAAAAAAAUUUACAAACAAAAAAAUCAAACAUAAAUUCUUUUAAUAAAUUAUAUUAUUGUGUGCAUCUAACAAGAUCAACAUUCUAUUCAUAUAGAAUACUUUUUAUUAAUUUCUUUCAUAAAUGAGAUAAAUGGAUAUACAAAAAUAUGUUAAAUAAUAUGACAAUAAAAGAUAAAAAAAAACAAAUAUACAAGUUGUUCUCCAGCUUGUUUUAUAAACAUAGUAUCGUGUUCGUCUCUUUUAUGAAAACAAGUAAUUAUACUACGUACGUUUUUGAGAAUCCUUCACAAUUUGGACUAUUUUAUUGUACAAUAUCUCUCUAUAUGCAAAAGAUCUUAUAAGCAAAGGCGUCUACUUUUUUUUUCCACUCAUCCAGACUACUUGACAUUUGCAAAUGAUGAAUUUUUCUACAUUAAUUAAGGACACAUUUUCAGUUGAGAUAAAUCCUUUUUAGAUAAGUGGUUAUUUUGAUUAUUUUAGAUGAGUGAUUACAAUUAAUUAUAUACCAAUUUUCUCUUUCAUCCUUUAUUUAUUUUACUUUUCUAUCUUAUCAUAUGAUUUAUCACGUUUUAAAUUUUGCAUUUUCUUUGUAUUAUUUUUUCUUUUAUCUUUCUAUAUAUCUUUUUUCCCUAAACAUUUAUCUUUUUUAUAUACUCGUAUACAGUACAAUCGCACUUUAGCGUGCAAAUCCGUUGCUAUCAUAUCAUAUUAAACUUACACGUGGCUCACUUAUUUUAUUUGGCUGGUGAAUUUGAGCUAUAAUUAAGUCAAGAAAACAUAUAGAGGCGUCGAUUUUAUGCGUAUAUAUACGAUGAUCGGUGGAUCUAGCUAUAUAGUAAUGUUUGCAUUUCAAGCAGUGCGGAUCCACACUUAUUUGGGUUGUACAUGUAUAUUUUAUUUUUUAAAUAAAUUGUCUCUCCUAACUUAGAUCUAAAUCUAUCAUUAUUUUAGGAUUAUAUAAGCAUAUGCAGUAUACUGAACAGUGAGAGAAAGAGAAGCAAGAAUAAAUCUUGAAAGAGUACGAUCAUGUCCGAACUAUUAUAUUAGAAGAGGAAUUAUAAUUAUUGUUGGAUAAAUAUUUAUUUUACUCUUUUCAAAGUGGUAAGGAUUCACAACUUGAUUCUUAAAAAAUGAAAAUUUUGAAUUUAAUUUUUAAAUGUAUAAAAAGUAUAACAGAUUGAUUCUUAAAAGAUAAAAAAUUUAAAUUUAAUCCCCUAAAUAUAUAAAAAAUGUGACAAAUUAAUUUUAUCCUUAAUUUUCUUAUGUUAUCCCUAACCUAUCUUGCAUGUUUAAACAAUACAUUCAAUGAUGAUAGUUGACAAUUAUCAUUAUCAUGUGAUUGUCCUUUUUUAAUUUAGUUUUUAAAUUUAAUAAUUUAUUCUCAUUUUAACAUUUGAAAUCACUUAUUAACAUUUUGAUAUCUAAGGUAACUUAUUAUCAUUUUAAUAUUUGAAUAUAAUCAGUUACUAACAUUUUGAUCUCUAAGCUUAAUUAUGUAUUCUCAUUUUGAUUUUUAAAAAUAUUUUUAAAUUUUUAAUUAAAUCUCACAUUACAUAUAAUUAUUAAUUAUUAGCAUACUCAUCAUCAUAUCCUCUUAUUUUCAUUUCACAUCCUUCAUUUUUCACUUUUCUCUUAAAUAAUUCAUCUUGACUUUAUAUUCAUAAUUUGUAUUCAAAGUUGGUUAUUUAUUCAAUUAAAACAUCAAUUCUAAUAAGAAAAUAACAUAAAAACAUCCUUAACAAAUUAUUUAAUUUCCAUCUUAAUAGAAGUGAAAAAAUGUUGUAAUAUUUAUACUGACAUGCAAUAUGAAACUUAAUCAUGAGUUUAAAAAAUUCAAAGAACACUAACCGGAGACAUUGAGUCUGUGGAUUCUCUCCGAGCAGCAGGAACAACCUUGCCCCUGUUAUAUUCUUGCGUGGGGAUAAAACCACUGAAUCCCAACGUGAUUUGCAUGGAAGAAUUUAAGAAUGAAGAUUUAAUUUAACCAUUUGGAGUGUCUCCAUAAAUUUCAUUCAGUCUUGAACUAAUUCUGGAUGUACUUGUGAUUAUACUUUAUGAUGCAUCCUGGUAAAGGAGUUUUAAAACUGCAGUAGGCUCAAGGUGUUUUGUUUUGGAAAUUGGUUCCAGAAAAUUUUGGUUGAGUUUGUUGCCGAGUUCUGCAAUGGAAUAUAAUUAAUUUUAAUUAACUUCCAUAAGCAGAUUCUUAUUCCUUUCACUGACAAAAAUUUCUUAAUCCAGCAACCAAAAUUAAAUAUGAUUAUUAAUCAUUUUUUAUUCAGAAAACUUGAUGCACCCUGAUGCAUUUUCCAUUUUGCUGAUGCAACCAAUUGUCUGCAUUUUGACUACGUUCUUUGUCUAUCUCAAGAUAAACAAGUUAUCCCCCAAAAAUUAUCUACAACUAAUAGAAAAGGACAAGAGGUAAAUAUUACAGAAGUAAUGUUUAUAUAUCAUUACUCAAUAGUACACAAUCAUUCAGUCAAAAUUUUCAUACAACCAAUUGUUGGUUUUUACAAUGAAAGUCAUAUUUAUCAUUUUUUUUUGUUGAUUAACAGUGAAACAAUUUUUACACUGACAAUGAAAUUAAUCUCAAUAAAAAGAAUGCAAGACUUCAAAUAAAUCAAACUCACUGUGGUUGAACUAGGCAACUAGCUGUAAUGUAAAGUAUGUAACAUAAAAUCUUCUAUUCCAUUAAUUCAUGGCUUUGUGUCCCAAAUGUUAAAAAAAAAAACCCAUUAGAAACAUAUGGAUAUGCAAAGAAUCAAUUCUAGCAGUGAGUAAAAGGGGUCUAUUCUGCCAGAAAUUUCAUGUUGGUAUAACUGAGUGUGAAUGUACAAUAUCUUCAAAUCAAAUUGCUACUGUAACAAGAAGAACAUUGGAACAGUGGUUCUAGCUGUAAAUCUAUAGAACAUUUUUUUCUUCUUAUAGGUUCCAUUUUCAACUGUUAUCACUAUCUUCCCAGGUUCACUGAUGUAAAAGGAGUUUCUAGUGCUGCUACCAUCUACACUUUGGUUUUGCAAUAAUACACUGUAUGAGCCUUCAUCAUCUGGAAUGAACUCUUCCUUGUAGGACACAUUCCAUCCCACCACAGUUACAUCCCACAUUAUUGUCACUCCAAGCUAGACACAUUCCAAAAUCAAAUUACAACAAAUAAGCAAAUUAGGCCAACAUGAUAAAUAAUAAUAGAGUUUAAUGUAUAUGUACUAGCUGUAAAACAGUUUUACACUGACAUCCAAUCACAAAUCAUCAUUUUAAUUACUUUAAGAUAAAUGUGAACAAACUUAUCAUAUAUGAUGGAUUGUAAUUAGAUGAUUGUGUACUAUAGUGCAUAAUCAUUUUUCUCAUAAUAAUAAUACUUUUACGUGCAUGUGCACAAGUGCAUUCAAUUUGAAACCAAAAAAAAUCAUGUAUAUACCUCUUUGACCGGAAAUUCAACUUUCGAAACCGUACUUCCUUUGAUUUUAUGCUCUGAAACCUUAUCAGAAGGUGAAAAAUCUUCAUCAUUGUUCCUCCUUACACCACCAUAUUCAGUUGGAAGGUGCUCUGGGGCUAUAAACCUUCACAAAUGACAAUGUUAAUUAACGGUGGUUGAAUUAGAUAAGAUUGAGAGAAUGGAACCUAAACACUUACUUAAGAAGUGUCUGUGUGACCUUCUGUGGCCUAGCUAAGAUGAACUUCUUUUUAUUUCUCUGAUUCAUGAACCUUGAGAAUAGCACUUGAGAAGUGUAGAACCAAAAUGGAGCAUAUACUAUAAUCUGCAAAAUUAAAUAUAAAAAAAAUGGGGGAAAGAAAAAUCAAUCAGCAUUCUGCAGUUUCAAUUUAGAUUGAAGACAUAAUAGCCAAUAUGCUCUAUUAUACAUUUAUAAACUAACAUUUUUGUGAAUGAUCUCAGGGUAGUAAUUCUGAAACAAAAUUAGAGCCCUUUUGCUGAGUGAGUUGAGCUCCUUGGUUCCUUGCAUUGGUGUGUUCCUCAAAUCAAAAACCUGAAGUACAGAGUUCACUCCUCCUUCCCUAAAGCAAAGCUUCUUCACAGCCUUUUCAAUCAAUUGAAUUCUCCACCUCAAAUACUUGUCACAUUUGUUAUCUGAUCCAAAGGUCUUCUUAUAGAUGCGCCUGUCUUUGAAAAUCCCACAAACAUGGUAACACACAGGACGACCUUCCCUAUCUUUACUGCACAAGAAUCCUGCAUUAUUAUUUCCAAACUCAGCCCCCAAAUCCUCAUCAAUGAUCCUAUCAACGUUGUUCUCGCGCCGCCACACAAGUGUCUUCUGCAGCAUGUCAAAUGCCUCACUCACCUUGAAAUCCUUGGCCUUCAAGAAUUUCCUCAAAACAACAUCAGUUCCCUUAUGAGCCUUGCUUGGCAACAAAGGAACGCCCCAGAGAGUAAUCUCUCUAAUCUGUUCCCUUGCCACUACUAUUUCUUGUGGCGCAAGUUUCUCAUGAUCUUGUUCUCCUAACAGAUAGUUCCCAAGAAUGGCAUCCUCAACCUUGCAACGAAACUCGAGCAAUGACUUCUCCGCCUUGAGCUUGAUCUCAGCAGGACUCGGGGCUGCGUCUCCCAAAGAUGUGGCCUCAAGAUCAUCAUCAUCAUCUUCUUGGUCACAAUCAUGAUCUUCUAAUUGGUUCUUCUUCUCUAAUUGGACCUUGAGACUCUUCUCAAUAUUGUUGGUGUUCUUAUCGAAGAAAUUGAAAACUAAGGGCACCCCAACAACGAUUUUCCCAUUUUCAUCGUUGCAACAACAUUCAUUGGUGUUGUUCAUGGUUGCAACAAAAAUGUUGAAAUUAAUUCUUCUUCUUCUCCUCCUCCUAGAUUAGAGCAUUUGGCAGAGGGAGGGAGGGGGUGGAGAAGGAAGAGAGAAAAAGUGGCAUUUAGAUUUACAUUACAUGCAUAUGCAUGAGAAGGCCUUGUUAAUUUGUGACAACUCAAUAAUGUUGAAUGAUGAUGGGUCACUUUCCCUCAAAUUGAGAAUUCUCAACCGUUAGUUUGUUUAGGUGAGUGGCGCCAAAUAUAGAUCACAAAUGGCUUGGUUUCUUAUUCAAUGGCAAAUAUUGCUUUUUGAAUGAUUUAAACCAAGUUGGCAUGGCAAGAGGCACACGGACCAACCUCGGUGUAAUCACAACAACCAUCUUUGAUUUCUUCUUUGCAAUCUUAAAACCUGCCUCAGAAGAAGAAAAAAAAUACAGGGAGCAACUUUUUAUAUAUGCACUAGCUUAAUAAUCCGUGUCUUGCACACAUGUUAAAUCUUAAUUAUGGAUUGACCCAUAAAGUUAUUUGUCUCCGACAUUUCACCUUUAUCAAACACUAAAAUAUAAGUUCUUUUGUUCGAUCAUCGUUGCACGCAUCAUUCUUCAAUAUCUAUUGUUGGUUUUUCAGUAAAGGCUUACCAUUAUUCUGUAAAGGCUUACCAUUAAAAGACAUAAUAAGGAAGAAAUUAUGGGAAAGUUCAUGUUUCUUUCUUUUUUUAUUAUUAUUUUCAUCUCAUUAAUUUUUAUUACAUAUUUCUAUUUGUUUCUUUUCUUUUUGUUUUCAUUUGACCACACCUUACAUAUCCCAAUAUUUAAAUAUUUUUUCUUUCACUUUUUAGAAGAUUUUUAGUGUUUGAUAAAGGUGAAAUGUCGGAGACAAAUAACAUUAUGGGUCAAUCCAUAAUUAAGAAAAUUACAAUAUAUUUACACCAAAAUAAUGGUAAGCCUUUACAGAAUAAUGGUCAGCCUUUACUGAAAAACCAACAAUAGAUAUUGAAGAAUGAUGCGUGCAACGAUGAUCGAACAAAAGAACUUAUAUUGAUUAUAAUUAUACUAAUUAAAUUAAAAUAACAUAAUUAAUUUAAUUAGUUUACUUUAAAAGAAUCUUAAUUACCUCAAUUAACACAUAUUAGUCAUAACUACCUUAACUUUAAAAUAGAAUAUAUACAUUGGUCAAAAUAGUCUAUUUAACAAUAUUUAUUUUUAUAAUUAACAUCAUAUUUGUAUCCGUAACGAGUAACACCGUUAGUUAUUGUAAAAGAAAAUAAACAAUUUUAUAUUAUACAUAUAAUACUAAAUUUGGUAAGUUGAUUGUUAUUAGAUAAUGAAUUGUUUACAAAAGCUAAAACAGUGAAAGAAAAUUUUAAAACAUUUAACAGUGAGAUGGUUAUUUAAUAGGGUUUAGUAACAUGAGCGGUAGGAUAAAUUGAGUUUAAAAGAUUUGUUUUGUAGCAGAAUAAAUUGUAUGCAAGAGGAGAAACCUAAGUUAUUGUAUAAUAAAAAAACUGUAUGUAAUUUGUAUGAAGAUUAGUUAUUAAUUAUGAUCCGCCAAUAGAGAAAAGGAAAUGAUAUAUUUCAUAAGAUAUCAAAGGUACCAAGUAGAGUACACAAGAAAAGAUCCCGUUACAAAACCAAGAAAGGAAUUAUUUGUAAUCUCUUAUCUUAACUAUAACUAUGUCCUGGUACAAAAAAUCUUGUUGUAUCUAAAACACUAUUAUUCAUCCUUUCUACAUAUAUCCAUAUCCAAGCAAAAAAAUGAUGAAUAUAAAACACAUAUCCCAUCAGAAAACACAUGCAAGAUGCUUAAUGAUGUUGGCAGAUAGACCAAGCAUACGAAGAAUAAGAAAAGCUUCUCAUUUAAGUUGCAUGGUACUAUGGUGAGCCAUUUCUACUCCUAAUCAUGCAUAAUACUUGAUUGAAAUUUAACUGCACCUAAAAGACAAAUUGUUACCAUUCUCCUCAUGUUGAAAUCAAAUGAUUUUUAUUUGAAUAAAAUGAUAGAUACAUUGAGGAAUAAAAGGAAAGAACAUGUUAAGUAUCAUAUUGAGUUUUUGGGUUUAAAAUUCCGUAAUGAUUAGUUUAGUUUCAUGAUCAUAGGAAAAAAAGACAUGAUAGUUUAGUUUAAAAAAAAAUAAGUUAUUAUACAGAUAAAUUCUCAUCAUAACAUAAUACUAAUAUGCAAUUUUCACUUGACAGCAACUUGUGUUGGUGAUAGACGUCACCUGAUUAAUUUGUAUUUGUAAGCAUGAAAAUAUCAGCUUGAAUGGAAUGAGGAAGAGUAAUUAUUUUAUUCAUUGUUAGUAAUAUUAUUUUAGGUAUAAUACUUACCAAAAUAUUGUAAUUGUUUCUUAAAAAUUCCUCAAAAAUGAUCCCGUAGUCAGAAAGUCUACAUCAAGAAAAGAAAUGUGGUUAAUUUUUAUCCAAAUAUAUAGUUUACAAAUGAUAUAUAGUUAUUUACACCAUGAUAACAUGGCAAUGGGGUGGGGCGGAGACGGGUAUUGUCUCCUCAGUUCCCGACCCCAACUCCCCUACAUAUACCCGUAUCCGUCUUGAUACUUGACGGGUUAAAAUUUGUUACCUCAUUUCCGUACCCGUUGGAUAUCGGGUAUCCCCGUCCCCGGUUUAGAUUUGUAAAAAAAAAUUGUAAAAAGAUUAUAUUGAAAAUCUGAUUAAAAAAAUUGAUUGUUACACAUUUAUUUUUAACUACUUGUAUUUGCAGUGCAUUUGUCUACAAAAAUCAUCAAGAAAAGAAUCUUAACUUAUGUAAAAAUUAUAAAAAAAUUAACAAGUAAUUAAUAAAAUUUUAAUAAUUUCAUCAUCGGGACGGAUACAGGAAUGGGUUUGGGACGGGUAGUGACAUCCCCGUCCCCGACCCCGACCUCGAUUAAAAAAGUCGAGUAAUCUUCGAACCUGAACCCAUACCUGGUCAACUCGGAUAUUUUUCAUCAAAAUCGGGACGGGUUUGGAUGAAUACCCACAGGUACGGGUUACGGGUUUCAUUGUCAUGCCUACACCCUGGUCAUAGGUUUUGAAAAGCUUCUUUAAAGACAACAUUGGUGGUUGUCUUUUAAGGGUUUUCCAUCUUUGUCAUAUAUUAAAAUCUUCAGCCCUUUAUUUACUUUGUCCUCUAGAAAAUGUCACAUAUAAUUGUUCAUGACUAAAUAUAGGUCUAGGCAAGUAUAAGUCUAUGUUUUUCAAUUGUUGACCUUGAGACUUGUUAAUUAUCAUAGCAUAAGAGACAAUCAAAGAAAAUUUUCUUCUCACAAGCUUGAAAGGUCUUGAUGACUAAAAAGAAGAUAAAGACAUUCAUGGAAUGUAAACUAAGUUUUCAAUGUUUUUUUUCAAAAAUGAUGUGUGCUUCAAUAACAUGAUUUGCAAGUCUUGUAACUAUUAAUCUAGUUCCAUUAACAAUGAUAAUAAUAAUAGUUAUUAUUAUUAUUAUUGUUGUUGUUGUUGUAUAAUAAAAUUGAUUUAGAAUUUAUAUUUGUACAAUAAUUAUAUUUGGAAAAAAUAAAGUAUAAUAAAUUAAUUAUUAUAUUAUAUUAUAUAAAUCAAAAUAUGUAUAAUUUUUAAUGAUUUAAUCUAAUUGCAUAUAUGUAACUAAGUGAUUGAACACAAGUAGUUAAUGUAUUGAAAUUAAAAUUGAAUUGUAUGAGUUUUAUAAGUUCAAUCAUUGACAGAAAUAAUUUUUAGUCAAGUUUUAUUGACCUCCUGCUGAAUUCCGCAUUAGUCAACGUCUCUUUCCCUUGAUGAACUAGGGGAUUAAGACAAAAAUCUAAUACAUACAUGUUGUAAUCACCUAAAUUACUAUAAUUAUUUAUUUUUAUAAAUUGAUAGUAGAUUAGUUUGAAUGGUCAAAUAAAAAAAAUCACAUUGAUCAUAAUUUCCUUAAUUUUAUGUAUUAGAAUAAGAAUAUAUAUUAUUCACCAAAAAAAAAAAGAAUGUAUAUUAGUACUGCAAAUUAAUUUGAAAAAUAAAUACUUGUAUUAUUAGUUUGAAUUUUUUAAUAAAAAAUUCUACUAAGCAUAAUUUCCAUAAUUACUAUAACUACUAUAAAUAUAAUAAUUACUUUAAUUAUACAUUUUAAAAGAAUUUGUUUUUCAUAUGCUAACUUAUUUAAAUUUUCAAAGAUAAUAAUGCGAGAUUAUCAUCCUAUAAUAUAUUUAUGUCACGAAAUUAAUAUAAAUCUUAUGAGAUUUUUUAAAAUUUGAAAAUUGAAUUAGACUAUAGUGUUAUAAAUUAAAAUGUGAUAUUAAAAACGUGAUAAUAAAACAUUGUCAUAAUUAUAAAAUAAAGAACUAUUAAAGAUUUCAUGUUUUAAUUGAUUAAUUUAAUCAAAAUACAUAUACCUGUUAUAAGUGUCUGUGUUACUAUAAUUAAGUAAAAUAACGUAUUUUUAUGAAUUAAAAAUAAAAAUAAAAAAAUAGAAUUUAGGCAUGAAAAAAAUGAAUACGAUGAUUUUAACCGUGCACCAUAUCAGGCAUUAACCUUACUAAUUUUGACCUGCACGGUAUGCACGUACCAGAUGUUAAAAUAUAUUAUUUUUAUAAAUCGGAAAUAAAAGAAAUGCUAAACUAUAUAAUCUGCUUGAGAAACAAAAUAUAUAAAUUGGAUGAUAGAGUUUCUAAAAUUAUAGUUCUCUUCAACUAAAGAAGUGACGAAAGCAAAAAAUUUAGUCAAUGGAUUAGUAUACACUUGACCAACAGCAUGAGUUUAAUUAGUUAAUAUGAUAUGGUCAAAUAUUAUAACUUUAAACUCUCUAGUUAUUUAAAAAAUAAAACAUAAUAAGCAAAGAAUUCGUUCAAGUCAUAAACAAGGCCACUACUUUAGGUUGACAUUUCAACAAUUGUUUCUUUGCAAAUUACUUAACAAACUUGGCCUCUUCUUUCAUUUAGUUCAUAAAGAUGCUUCAAUUCUUAUGCCUAUUUGAGUUUUAGGACUAUACAUCACAUAUAAGAAAGUAAUAGUCAAGGCAGAGAAAAAAGAUCGAUGAAUAAAAUAUAAUUCAAGAACGAAAGUUUGGACAUCUAGCUACUGUAUUCUACAUACAUAGAAUGUGAGGAAAUCCCAUUUACAAUAAUUUUAAAAAAGAACCAGACUGGUAUUAAAAAACAUGAAAUUGAAGAGGGGAGAAAAGAAGAGAUACACACAUAAGUUUGGCCACCUCCAAACAAGAAAUAAAAAUGCAACCAAGCUCUGAAUGCUCUGUACAUAGCAGGUGGCUUAUCAACUGUACCCUGUGGAUGAAAUUUUAGAACUCUCGGUAUUUAGUCAAAUCAAAGGUGAGAGUUCUCGAACAGCUGCAAAAGACGAAAAUCAUGGGUCAAUACAUUGGACUUAUGCUAUCAACAUAAUGACUAUUUAAAUCAAUUAAUGAUAUCUCAAGAAAUUUACCCUCUUUCAGAGUCUCUGUAAACCCCAACUAAUGCUUCGGCUUUGUCAUAAAAGGUGUCUUUCAGUGAUAUCACAAUACUCUGGAAACCAUUUCCACCAUCAACAUCCUGACUAAUCCUUGCUCCUUCACAAGAUUUUGAACGAAUAAAGCCAGCAACCUUGGCAACAUUCAAGUUGUCCAACGCAGCAUCAACUUCGUCCAAUAUAAAAAACGGGGAAGGCUUGUAACUGAAACAAGAAGUAAGUAGGGAACCAUAUUAAUGGAACAAGAAGAUAAGAUAUCAGCAAAAUAGUUUUAGGCUUAUGUGAGAUGUGUCAGUAUAUUGCUUAGAUGAAUUUUUGUUAUUAAAACACAAAUUCAGAGUAGUUAUAAAAUAUUCUUGUUCUAAUCCAAGUAGUAGUACAAACAACUCCUACCUAUGGAUGGAGAAUAGCAAUGCAAGUGCAGCAACUGUCUUUUCCCCACCAGAUAGCUGCUCCAUAUCACGGAAGCGCUUUGUUGGGGGCAUAGCAGUGUAUUUGAUGCCAUGUAGAAAUGGAUCAUCGUCAUUUUCCAAGUUUAGGUAUGCUGUUCCACCCAGUGGAUGUGUGUUGCUCUUUGUAAGUUGUUUGUAAAUUUUAUCUAUAUUACCAGAUAUAUGGGUAAAAGCAUCCAUGAACAAGUGGUACCUGCAUCCAACACAAACUUUGGCUUCAUCAGAAGACAGAUAAGAUACAACGAGUUUCUUUCCAAAACAAGGUCCAAAACAGACGGCAAAGAAAACUCCCACAUAUCUCAAUAUAAACUCUUAAGUAACUAGAAUAGAAAUCAAAGAUACACAAAGAAGUCAAAUAAGGAAAGCAUGUCAACUUUUUUUUUUUUUUUUUUUUUUGGUGUCUGGGGGGGUUAACAAAAGGUUAUAGUUUUCAGAAUUAGAAAGAUUGUAAGGGAAAAUGUAGGGCAACACAUGUUCAGCAGAAACUUAUCCCCAACCCCUUCAGUGAAAUUAUCAAAUAAUCAAGUUGACCAGGAGCUGAUUGACCUUUUAGUGGGAAUUUUUUAACAUAAGAUCAUAUUUAUGGAUUUUAUGUAAAGUUACCAUCACAAUUAACAUUGGAUCUUAAAGGAUGUUACUAUCACUGUUCUGAGGGAUCAUAAAGGUUCUUCUGAAUUCUAUUAUGUGAUGCCAAAAUAGUAAAAGGUGGAAGACAGUGAAUGGGUGACCACCCCCAAAAUGCUAUAUAGUAGCAUAGUAGAUUGUGACUUGUGAGGCAGACCCUAAAGCAAGAUAUGAUCUACUAUCUAGAAUGAAAAUAAUUGAAAAGGAAAAGAAUAAAGCACACAAAUAUGCGUGUGGAGUAGCACAUUACAGCAUUUACUCAAAUUUGAUAAAUCACACAAUUUAGUAUAGCAUCAUCUGUUACGCCUUAUUUGGUAUGAAGGAAGGAAAUAAGUUGGUGUUUGGUAGGUGAGACUUAGAGGAAAAUUAAUAUUAAAACUGGUGGGACCCACUAUAAUAUUUCUCACUUAUUUCCACUCAUCUCUCCAUCUCUCUCCUCAUCUCUAUUUCUCUUCCAACCAAACACCUUUUAAUUUUCACUUUAUUUCUCACUUAUUUCCAUUCAUCCUUUUUAUUUUGAUCCACCCUAUUUCUCUCCUCUGCCAAACAGGGCAUUAAAAAUCACUCCUCACUUAUACAAACAACUAGUCAUUUCAUUUUUUCUUUGCAUGUUUUCUGAUGUAAUUUUAAGACUUCUUAAUGUGUCCACCUAAACCGUGCACACUAUAAACUAUUGGCUAGGUACUAAUGUUAUAAAUAAUACAAGUAAUGACAAAUGAAACAAAAAUAGCUUUACCUUCUCUGCUUAACCUCAUUGAAUCUCUGUGUUUUUUCCCUCUCCUCUUUCCUGACAGCUUCAAACUCUUCAGUUACAGCUCUUUCUUUUUCUAGCAGAGCUUCAUAUUGGUCCAAUGCCUUCAAAUUUGGUGCUGUUCUUUCAAUCUCAGAUAUCAAGGCAUCAAUUUUUUGCUUAAACUCUACCUCAAUUUUAUCCCUGUCUGAGUGUCUCCUAUCUUUCAGUGCCCUAUUUAGUUGAUCAAAGUCAAAAGAUGGACCUGGUACUGAGCUAUCAGUAUCCAUAGGAUCCAGUAUGAUCGGGAGGCUAAUCUGUUCUAGUUCACAUUUUUCUAAUAUUUCCUGCUUUUGCACAUUCAACUGAUCAAUCUGUGCCUCCUGUAAAGACAAUAAAGAUGUUGGCUAUCUAUAUUAUGCAGUGUAAGUUACACAAGAGAGAAGAACUGUGCCCAUCUAACCUUAGAGUGUAUCAGACGAUUAAGUUUGGAUAUGUUUGUUGUGGCUGCAGAAGCUUUCUUCUUCCACUCUUGGAUUUCCUUUUCACAAUCUUCUGACUUUGAUUUCCACUCUACAAGAGUAAAAAGAAAAGAGAAAGAAUAAGAUUCCCAUGGAAGAAAAUUGAAGUAAUAGUGGAUCUGUGUUCCCAUCAAUUUCAAAUUGCAAACAGCAAAGGACUACCCAGAUAACCAAGCUUUCACCCCAAUAACACCCCAAAUCCACAAGGGGAAUAAAAAGAUAGCAAAUCCAAAGAAAACACAGGUUGCACCAAAUAUACCUUUAGCUUCUUCCUUAAGUUGAUUAAUCUCUUCCGUAGCAUUCUCAGCUGCUAACUUCGCUGCAGCCUCUCUGUCAUGUACACGUUUUAAAUCUUUCUCUAAAGCACCAAGAGAAGAUUCCAAAUCUUGAAUUCGUGAAUUCAUAUCCCGAUUUUGCUCAUACUCCAACCUGUAGAAUAUUUUCCAAAAAUACAAACAAAUCAAUUCAUGAGUGACUAGCUAAAUAGCAAAUAAAACUGAAAGUUGAGCUCCAAGUAUCUUCUCUUUUUUUCCUCUUCAUCAACUCUCUUAGGUAAUUGAAAACCUUCUGAACAUAAAAGGAGAUGCAGUACAAGAAACUUUGGGUAAGUGAGAACACUAUAUGCAACAAGGACCAUAUUCCAUAUCACUUAACAAAAAGUUCAGUUGAAGAACUAAUUUUGAUGCAGUACAUCAGAAUUUACUCUUGGCUUUUCCACCACAGAAUCAAUGAUUUGAUCCACAUGGACAAACCAGCAAGAGUUAUGAAUCUAAAAUUACUAAUGUGAAAUAGAUCUUAACAACAAAAUAGGUAAUAGCUAUUAGAUAGACAUUUGCUGACCACCCCACUUAAACAGUGAAACAAAUAUACAGACCUAGUCUUCAAUAUAUAAUCCUCCAACUAGUAUUUCUAUCCCCAAGAUAAUAUAGUAAUUAGAUUUUUGUAAAGGAAAAAAAGAAAGAUAGCUUAGCAUCCUAGAAUUGGUUGAACUUCAACAGUUGCAGCUUUCUUCUUUCCUCUUUCAUUUCCAACAAUCUUUUUUUCCUCCAAUUUGAUGGCAGUUUGAUAAUGUAAUACAGUAAUAGUUGUUGGUAUUUAAAACACUUAUAGCAAAGCACAUACAUAUUACUUGUUUGCAAGUUCAUAAAUGCAUUCACACAUGUAAAGUUAUGUACGUCAAGUUAACAAAUAACAAGGUGUAAUUAAAGUAAAAGAGAAGAAGGAACACACUGAUAUUUUAAUUUUGAGAGUUGGCUACUCAGGUUCAGCCUCUCCUCUGCUAUACUUUGAGCAGCCUUGAGUCGAUUUUCUUCAUACUCACGGAUGUUUGCAACCCCAACUGACUUGCUGAAGUCUCUGUAUAUCCUGUCAGUAAUUUCAUUUAUCCUCUUCUCAAGCUUACGUACAUCUGCAUUGCUCUUGUUAACAGCAUCAUUUAACUGCAGAGCAUAAACACCAAAUAACCAGUUAAAUAUAGAAGAAUAUUGCUAAGAAUGAACUAAGGAUAUGUAAAUGCCACCUUCUGCAGGUCUGGACUGAUGCAUUCAAUUCUUUCUUUGAUGGUCUUUUUUUCUUGGCUCAAAUUUGAAAGUUUAUCUUCAAUGCUUCGCUGGAAAAAUUAAAAGCAUAGAGAUAAAAUACUUGAAAUAUUCCAUAUGGAACAAAAGACAUAACUUCAAACACACAAUCCUUAAUUAAUGUUAACUUGCCUUUAAUUGGUGCAUGUUUUCAAAAAUAAACAACAAAAAGUGCAAUUUUAACUAUUUUUGCAAGGACAGAAUAUGACCAGUUAGAUUUCUCAUGCCUACAAACAAACUACAGCCUCUUCCCCUAGUUACUUCCUGCUAAUUAAUGCUGAUAUUUUAAUGCCUAUGAUUAUUAAAUUUUAAUCUAAAAACUUAUGAAACAAUUGGAUGAAGUUUGUGCUACUAGAGUUUGGGUGGAACUUAUUCAUCCUCAAUAUAAACUAGCCAAAAAUCCAAUAAACCCUGCUUUACUUGGACAUUUAUUGUAUCCUAGUUAGAAAUUAAAAGACUUGCAGCUUCCAAGUUUGAUUGUACCUUUUCAAUCUCAGCAUAUUGAAUUUUCUUCUCAAGUCCACUAAUUUUUCCAGAUGCUUCAGACUCUUUAAGGUGCAUAUCUCUUAUUGAUCCUAGCUCUUCCAAUUCUGAUUCAUACUGCUCUUUCUUUUUAUUAAGUCCUGAAAAACAACAUGAUUAUUGCAAGAGCAAAAGCUUUGAAUUAAGUUUUAAAAAAAAAUGAUAAAAACCUUCAAUUUUCUUGUCAUCCCACUGUUUUGACCUUGCUUCCAUUCCACCACUAGUGCCCCCAGUCAUUGUGCCAGAUUUUGUCAACAGAAUUCCGUCCACAGUUACAACUAAGCAAAUCAAAUUACAUAGAACAAUGUUCACUAAUUUUCAAUCUAACAAGCAUGAUUGUAUUAAAUGCACCAGGAAUGCAUCACAAGCAUAAUAAGUACACAAUAGGAUUCUCCUGAAGCCAAAAGGUUUGUUAGAUAAGAAACAAAAUUACAAAACAACAAAGAAACACAAAGUGCAAAGACCAUAGAGUCAAGUAAAAGUUAUAAACUGGGUGCCAAAAAAGUAAGGAGAAUGAGAAGCCAGAGGGGAAAAUACAUGGGGAUCAAAAUGGAACAACAUCCAAGUACUAUCAUUAAGCUCUAAUGGCAUGUCAGUAAGAAGGCAAAGAAUCUGUAGAUAAUAGAAAGAAAAAAGGUCUUGUUACCUUUAAACCUCUCACCGCUCCAGCUUAAAAUUUUGGCCUCCUCAAGAUCAUCACAAACUAGAGUAUUCCCAACAGCAAAGAGAAUUGCCUUCUCCAAGGAGGGAUCAAACUUGCACUAGUUAAGUAGAAAAGCUUAAAGCACUUCAGCUUAGAGGUGUAUAAUUAAGUGGUUUGACAAAAAGCAUGAAAUUAAACUUUAUGAUGGGGUAUUCAUGAGAAGGAAAGAAGAGAAAAUACAUGAAUGAUUUAUGCUCAAUGCUUAAUAGACCACCUAAUUAUAAUCCAAGAAUGCAUCUGUCCCUAUAGGAAUUCAUUAAUUCAACAGUAUGUCAAAUAGCAUUUUGAUGAGACAUGAGAGGAAACUACUGAAAAAAAUCUGCAAAUCUGAAAAAAAAAAAACUAUAUAUCUUAUUAGGGAGAGGAUUUGAUUUUAGUGAGCUACAGGAAACAGCACCGACAACAGAAGCUAAAGCAUAAAGCAAUACGCAACAAGAGGGGUGAGGACAACGUAACAAUAGAAAACUGUUAAAAACUACCAAAACCAAGUGGCCAGCAAACUCUGAUGAUGUUAAGAUGACAGCAGCUCAAUGCAUCACAAUGACAGACAUGGUUACUCCACCCACAGAAACAGCCAUUUGCAUGAUUUUGUUAUCUAAGGAGAUUGCACAUUCCUUUAGGAUUUUGAUCAUACAAUUCAAAGGUGGUAUGAAGCAUACAACAACCUUAUUCCACUGAGUGAGGUCAACUACAUGGGUCACACAUCGCCAUUCACCUCAAAGCAGGAAGCAUGUAAACCAAAAAUAUUUUAUAACUCCUUUGUGCCUUCCCAGAUUCAGAAAUUUUCAAGCAAUGUGGUUAACAUCAAACAUUGCUAAUUUUUUGAAUUAGUCAAAACUCAAAACAAUAAAAUCAUGAUUUACAAGCUAUCUACAGAAGGUAAACUUCAAGAAAACUUCGGUUUAUAAGAACAAAUUUAAAUAACAAAUUUGCAAACACGAUCAGAACCAAAUUCUUCAAAGUAGCCACUGGAGAAAAAAGGAUAUUGAAUCACGUCAAAAAUCAGUUUUGCUGUACCCCGUAAUGUGCGCAAUCUUUCCAUUAUUGGCUUCACCCGAACUGAUUCCAGAGGAAUAAAUGUCUGGGGAGGAAGCCUCUGAUCUUUUAAAUACUGAAAAGCAAAGAAAUCAAUAUUCCAAUCAAUAUCAAUACAUAUAACAAUAAGAAACCAAUUAUAGAGCUUCAAUAUUCAAACAGGCAAAGUUGCAAUUUUAACACCAAAUUCUAGCUAUCAAGCAAUUAUAUUUAUAGCAAUCUGGUCAGUGCAACCAAAGAGCAGUGUCAAACAUAACAUAAAUUCCACUGGAAUGACAGAUGCAGCAAGUGAGUUCUAGUCAUCAAGGAUGAAAAGACAACAAAAUGAAGGUCCACCAGUUAGAAGGCACCAAACAAGCUUAAAGUUUGGGCCUCAGUUAAAAAGGUGCUUUUUCGGAAGUCCAUAAUAUUUUUUUUAUUUUUGUAUUUUUUUUCAGAGCUCAAGGAGUGCUCCUACGCAUAUACAUCACUAAAUCAAUUAAUGCUGCUUUGGCUUCUUUUUUUUACUUAUUCAUGCUGUGUGAUCACCAAUAUUCAAAUCAAAAGCAACAAAAACCCAUCAACAAUAAAUAGAAUAUGAUCUCUAAAAGAUGACUUGGCAAUCAUAAAAUCAAAAGGAUAAGGCAAAAUGGCAAAAAAAACAGAAUAUUAGGAAAACUUAUUAGGACCUUGAUGCAUUCCUUCCCAGUCUUUUCAUUAUCAACUACGACUGCAUCCAUAAAUUUACCCAUAGCAACAGUAACAGCUAGGUUAUACUUCUUCUGUGUUGGUCUACAAAGAUCAGUCAUGCGACCAUGAACUCCUUGAAACAGGCGUUUUAGAGUCUCAACAGCCUGAGACAACCUAACAUCUCUCUCAUUUUCAUAUCUAUCAGCCUUCAAUUCACGUAGUUGAUUUUCUAAUUCACCAAUUUUUAACUUCAAAUUUUCAUAUUUUUUCCUGCAGAUCAAAAGUAGCACACGCCAUUACAAAAAUAUCAUCAGUAAAGUACUUUAGCGCAGUGGGAAGCUUUAACAAUUCUCAAAAAAAAAAAAAAACAUUGAAUAACAUGUUAAUUUACUUGGAAUCACGAUGUUUGUCCUGCAUCACGCGUAGUUCUUUUUUCAAGUUUUCAAGGCCAACUUUAUUUUUUGCAGAAUUAUCAAGAAUUUUUUCAAGCCUUGCUCGCAUCUGUUCUUCCUGCGAAUUCAGUUCAGACUCCCUGUUUCUUAACUGUUGAAGAUUUUCUUCCAAGUUCUUUUGAGCUUCACUAUCAGCGUUAAGUUUCCUAUCUAGAAGCUCCUUUUCCUCUCUAAGCUUUGCAGUUUUCAUUCCAGCUUCCUCUUUGCUGUAAUGCAACAUUGCAACAUCAUUAUUACAAGUUCCAAAACAGAAAAAUGUAAUGACAAAUGAAAACUUAACAUGCAUCAUAAGUGAUAACUACUAAGUACUGACAAAUAAAUUUUUAACUGCUCAGGGAGAACAAAUUGGCUACCAGAAGACAGAAUUGAUGAAAUUCAGAGCAAAUUAUGUAAAAAAUAUAUGUUUCUUAUCAGGAAGUUCCAAUUGAGAACACAUGGCCAAACCUGCUAAUGAGAGGCAAUUGGUCAUUGAAUGAAAUACCAUAUACAAGCAACACUAUCUACACAAUUUUGGCUGAUAUUAGUCAAAAUCACCAUGAAUACAUGUUCCAACUUCUGGCUAAUGACACUUGCUUUCCUUUUCCUUUUCAUUACUACACUAUCCAACUAAUGCACAAUUUUAACCAACAUAAAAUAAAGGAUUUUCCUUCAAGUAACAGAAAAUAAUAAACAGAAUUAACAAAAUAGUUUUAACUUGUACCCUAACAAUCUAGCUCACAAAUUAUCUCAACAGAUCGGCAUAAUCAAAUAACAUGAGUACACGGUAUAUGUGGCAGACAUGAUUUUAAGUGCACGCCAAAACUCAAUAGCAUUAAAGUUUUCUCUGAGCACAAUGCAAGUAUUCUGUUUCCCAAAAAAGGGGAAAUAUAUAUAUAUAUAUAUAUAUAUAUAUAUAUAUAAAAAAAAGAGAGAGAGAGAGAGAGAGAAAGGCGGCAGUAGGCAAACAGCUACAGCAAAUAAAGACUCACAUGCGAAAAUAUUCUUCCAAGUCAUUGCCUUGCAAAUCAAGCUCGUCAUCAACAUCUCGUCCCUUUUCCUGAAGGUCUGCCAUUUUUGCUGUAAGAUCCUGGAUGUCAUUCUGUAGUAAUGCUAUAUCAGCAUCAUGCUUCUUCCGUUCAACCUUUUUUUUAUCAAGCUCUUUCUUCCCUUUUUUAAUUUUUGAAGUUAUACGAGUCAUUUCCUCCUUUAACUUCAGAAGCUCAGGUUGCUGCCAGGAGGGAGGAAAACCAGAGAAACAAUCCCAUAAACUAUUCAGUGUAUUUAAGAGCAUAACAAAUACAAUCAACAAUAGGAUUACAGGAAAACCUAAAAGAAAUUAGCUAGAUGAUUUUCAGAUACUCCCAAAUCUUUUAUCUCUAUUUUGUGUCUAAAGGAGUUGUCAUCCUUACAGCCCUCGCUGUUCCCAGAUUAACAAAACCAUUUUCCAAAUCUUAAAAUUGCAAUUUUCAACCCAGUUUUCUUCAAAACAAAUAUGACCAAAAGCAGCAAAGUUCAAAGAGUAAAACAUAGAAUCAACCUAUGUAAAAAGUUCAAUGGCUGGAGUUGAUAAUAGUAUGAUGACAAUGAUCUUAACUUAUAGUCCCCCCACCCCAAAUGUAGAAAAAACACUUACACUCUUGUCAAGCUUGUUGCCUUUCUCAGCAAUUCUCUUUUCACGUAGUGCAAUCUCUUUCAGAUAUUUAGCCUGCUCUUUUUUCUUUUUACUAGCUUCACUUUCAAAGUAUUCUAGCUCUUUAACAACACCUUCACGGCUUUUUUCCUCAUCUUCAAGAUCCUUAAUUGUUUCAGCAUAAUCGUUGUGUAUAUUAAACAACUUCCACAAGAAAUGUUCUCCCUUCAUAGAUUUCUGCAAGAGAAAAACAGAGAUACUUGAAAACUUCACCUUCCACAAUAAGUCUGAUGACUGAUAGAGAAAAUGCAUGAAUUGUUGGUAGUUGCACAAAUGACUCCUAGUUGAAAAUGAAGUAGAACUGUAGUCCAGGAAUGUAAUCAUAUCUUUUAUUCAGUUGAAAGUAAAAAAAUAUCUAUAGUUACUUGAUCAAACAUACUGUAGUGAUAUAGUUAGCCACCAAUUCCAACCACUGCAGGGGUUGUAGAAAACUCAGGUACAAAGAUUAUUUAUCAAAGAAAGUAGAAACUAUACACUUACGCGCAGCUUAAGCAAUUUCAAUGAAAGGGGAAACAGAAACAGGAGACACGUAAAGGUCACUCAAAGCGGAACCUAUAAUUUGUUGUCAGUAGCCUUUGGAUCUUCAAGAGAAAGUUCCACUUUCAAUCAACUAUCUCUAUCAAGUAUCAAACCCAGUCAAUGGAGCAAUGGAGGUGGGAAGAACUCAGAAAAGCAGUGAAGUCGUGGAAGUGUUGAUGUAAGAAGGGUGAUAGAAAACUGAAGGUGAAACUUUUACUUUUUUUACUUCUUAUAGUUAAUAGAAGUGAGGGCGAGCCCUGGUGCAGCGGUAAAGUUGUGCCUUGGUGACUUGUUGGUCAUGGGUUCGAAUCCGGAAACAGCCUCUUUGCAUAUGCAAGGGUAAGGCUGCAUACAACAUCCCUCCCCCAUACCUUCGCAUAGCGAAGAGCCUCUGGGCAAUGGGGUACGAAGUUUUUAUAGUUAAUAGAAGUGCCAUCCUGCCAUGGUCCAAUUAGCCAUGUGGCAGAAGAAAGUACAAUAAAACAUAAGCUUAAGGCUAACCCAAGCAAAUGAAACUACAUCAAACUAAAAUAGGCCAAUUGGAACCACGGGCAACCUACACCUACACACAUAAACAAACAUAAAUUGAAACAGAUCCCAUUACCAGUUCUUGUUGCAGGCGGAGAUGCUUCUCUGCUUCUUCCUUCUGUUCUUUCUUCUGUUUUCUCUCCAUAACCACUGUCUUCUUUUUCUGAUAAACAAGCGCUGAUUUUUCCUCAGCAGCACCUUUCUCCUCCUCAAACUGCUCAUAGUCCCUCUUGCACUCAUCAGAGCCGGAUAUCUGCUCCACCAGUGCAGUGAGCUCUUUGGGAUUCUUCGAUGCAAUAGACUCCACAUCACCCUGCACAAUUUAGCAUUGUCAAUUGAGACCUGUAACAGAUAUAAAACAUGUUUGGAUAAACUUCAGUUCAGAGUUUAAAAUCUAGGAAGCAUAGACACUUCCGAUGAAUGCCGUGCACACGUGUCGGACACGUUUCCAACACUCCUCGGACACCAUGUCAGACACGUUUUUGUGGUGUCCAAUUUUUUAAAUUUUUUUGGGGGGCUUGGACACACUGCGGACACUUCUCCAAACAGUUGGACAUGCAUCGGACACUUCUCUGGACACAGUGGACACUUCUCUGAUUUUUUUUUUAUUAAAAUUUUAAAAAAUCAACCUAAAAGAUUAGAUUAUAAAAAAUUCUUUUUAAAAUUAGCCUAUUUUGAUAAACUCUUUCACGUAGCAUUCUGCCUUCUUCUCUUCUAUUCACAUUUACGGUUUGCCCCUUUUGUACGACAUCAUCCAUUCACAUUCUUGAGUACGCCUGUCACUGGUUAUUUUCCGCUCAUCAUUGCCUCGUCAGAGUCUAGUCGUCUUGCUUGGCUGACUUCACGUUCAUGGUCCCUCUAUUCGUCACUUCAUUUUGUUUCCCUUUGUUCAUGCAUUUUUGGUACACCCUUUGUUCGUCUUAUAUAAAUCCUAAUUAUCAAUUUACAUUUUUGUCAUGUUGAUCAUAUAUAUAUAUAGGAGGGGAUCCACUUCCUCCAAGAGUAACUCUUUUAGAUUUACUCCUCAUCCUCACCAUUUAUUUUCUUAAGAUCUAGUGGUUGUAAUAAGUAACUAAUCUUAAUCAUUAAAUCUCAAGAAAAUGAAUGAUGAGGAUGAAGAGUAACUCUAAAAGUUACUUUUGGAGUAAGUGGAUCCCUCCAUAUAUACACACACACAAACACAAACACACACACAUAUGCUGUGUCCCCAUGUCCUAUGUUUUAGAUUUUAGCUGUGUCCUGGUGUCUAUGUCAUGUUCUGUGCUUCAUAGUUUAAAAUAGCAUUGCUUUAGUGCCGGAGUAGAGUGGCCCCUGGCGGCUACAAGUGCCGCCAUAGUGAAGGGUUUCAGUGUAACAGCUGUAGCGGACCAAGAAGCAGCUGUAGCAGACAGGAUAGUGGUUCUGUGAGUUGUUUCCAGAAAAGCCCUUUGAAUAGAUAAUUAGGGCUUUUUUAGGGGGCUAUUCUUGGGAUUUCAAUUUCCAAAAUGAAAUGUACAGCCAUAAUAGUAGUGAAAAUGAUAAAGAAGAAGGCUUAGAUUUUAAAGAUGAUGAUUGAUGAUUCCUAUCUAAGAAACCUAGUAUUUGACCUUUGUUGAUAUUUAGUUGUAUGUUUUGCUUAAGAUCACUAUUAUGACUUUUUAUUGUUAAUUAUGAAUUACGAAUGCCAUGAUUUUUAGAGUAAUUUUUAUUUAUUUUUGGGAAUUUAUCUUAGUAUAGUGUAACAAUAGAAACUAUCGCACUCUAGCAUUUUUCAGGGAUAUAAAAAUAAAACAGUGCUUCUCCAUAGAAACCUAUAUUCACGUCAGCUUUUGGAGAAGUAAAACAAUAGAGCUUCAAUAAAAGUUAAUUGCACAGAAAUGGGGAAAAGAAACGAAGCAGAACCUGAAAGACCAAGAAAUUGCGAGCUUUGACGAGAAUGCCUAGGGACUUGAGUCUGUUGUUGUAGGUCUCCCAAUUGACGAGGGAUUCGUCGAUGCGGUACUCGCUGGCGCCGGCGCUGGUGAUGGUGCGGGUGAACUUGAUCUCGGUGGAGUUGGCGAGGUGGUAGACGAGGCGGACGAAGGCUCUGCGGCCUUUCUGCUCCUUCUCGCGGUCGUCGAAGGCGUAGAUGAGGUCCUUGAGCUGCGCGCCGCGGAGCUGGCCAGUGCGGACGCCGAGGACGAAGCUGAUGGCGUCCAUGAGAUUGGACUUGCCGGCGCCGUUGGGGCCGAUGAUGGCGGUGAAGUCGUAGAAGGGACCGAUCACUUGGAAGCCCUUGUAGGACUUGAAAUUCUCCACCUCGAGGCAGUGGAUUUUGCCCGGGGAGAGUAGCGACGGCAUCGUGAAGUUCGUGAAACCCUAGGUCGAAUCGAAGGUGCGGUUCCGGCGAGAGUGGAGUGAGGUUAGGGUUGGAAUUGAAUUGGGGAAAGGGAAAAUUGGCGGGAGAGGAAACCCUAAGAAAGAGUAGAGUGCGUCGUUAGUCGUUACGUAGCUAGAAGGGAAGAGAAUGACUCAAGCAAAUCCCACUCUUCUCAGGAAUCUUCGCCGCUUGCUCGCGUCAUCGUAGCUCUUUAGAUUUUUGCCUUAUGAUCGUUGAUGGCGGGAUUGAAAGUGGAUUUGAUAUAACAAAAACAAAUUAUUUUUGUUCUUACUCCACUCUACUUUUAAAAUCUUUUUUACUGUGUUACAUGAUUUAGUUCUCGCCGUUAGAUUGAACAACUAAAUGUUAACAUUAAAAAUGUCAUUUAUUUUUAUUUGAAUUAUUUAAUAGGAGUUCAUUUUUUUAUCACUAAAAUCCGUCAAAAAUUAUUACACUCUUUUCUGCAAUGGACUUGAGUAUACGAACUCCAAUACCAAUACAACAGUGACAACAUACAUCAAACACAACCCUCAUUUUUCUUUUCCUUUUUUCUCUCGUCUCGAUCUCUCAAGAACUAGACAAACCACGAUUUUUCUCUUUAACAUGCACAACAUGAGAAUCCAUUUUCCUAAUUUCUCUCAGAUAUGGAUUUGUCAAAUAUGAUUUUUUUAUCGCAGGUUGAAACUGAAAUCUAGAUUUGGAUUUGUCUAAUAUGGUUUUUUUUAUGUCAUUAUUAUUUUGGGUUUUGGGUGAUUGAUUCAAUUGAGAAGUUCUUUAAUGGGAUUGUUGCCUAAAUUGGGGCUAGGUUAUUCACAAAAGUAUUAGAUUGUAAGAGAGAAGUAAACUUUGGAGGUUUUAAACCGCAAAAAAUUGUUUAAUACUUUUUCUAAAAUGCCAUUCAAGUAAUUUCUAGCAGUUUAUAACCGCCAGAGAACACGACCAAUCCUGAUGGAGUAAGCCAUGGGUGUCCCAAACCAAGUCUCUAAUGAAAAGAGUAAUUGUCUUUAUUAAUAGUUAUAAAUAUCUAUCUAUCAUUAAAAAACAUUUUUUUGAGAAGAUGAAAAUCCACACAAGAUGCGUCUCAAGUAUACAAUAAUUUAUGACCACCAGGUACUUGAAAAUAUCCCAGAUCUAGUUACACUCGUACCUCCCAAUAAAACAAUAACAACCAUCCAUAUGCCCCAAAACAUAUCACUAAACCACCCCUACCACCUCCAUAAAAAAACAACCCUCUUACAAAUACACAUUCAUAGUGUUGGCUUCACCUCACAUAUGAUAAAAUACAUUCACUUUACCUCGGUCUCUGCAAAACACAUUGGAAAAAUUCAAAGCUUCAUACAUAUCCCAUCAUCCGUACAACACCCAGGACAUUACCUUCCAAAACCAAGCAGACAAUUUCCACGACCCCACUCCAAAGUCAGCCUCAAACUUACAAUCAAUUAUCCAUUGUAAUAUACAAUUAGUAUGCAUUUUUCUUCUCUUCCUCGUUUUUGUUUCCUUUUUCCCAUCUUGUCCAAAUUAUUGAAAGGACACAAUCCAGAUGUUGCUUGUAUUUGAGAGAAUCAAAUUGCAUGCAGAGGUAUCAUGAUCAAAAUCAUGCUUAAAAGAGUUACCAGUGUUAACCAAACUUUACGAUCCAUAAUUCAUUGCAUGAACUCAACAAUUCACAGUGUCCUCAAAUAAACAACCCAAAUUAACUUCCAUUGUGUGGGUGAAUAAAAAAACAAAUAAGUAAAGAGACAUUGGAACAUUGUCAUGUUCAAAGGAUUUUAGUUUAGGUCAAAAGUUUUUCCAAUGGAGAGUGAGAGAAAGGGGGGGAAGCAAAUAGGUUGAUUGAAUAGGCUGGUGGAUUUAAUUAUUAUGUUAGGGUCAAUACAAAAUUCAUUUCCACAUUCGUGAGCUUACUACUUAGCCUUUUUGCAGGAAACACAUAAUGCUAAACGGGAUAAUCGGUUAUAGUUUGAAGGAUAUCACAAAAGUUCAAAGUCCCAUAUUAUUUAGAAUAACUCCCAUAUUAUUUAGAAUAACUUUGGCCAUGUAUUUUUCUUUCUUUUAUUGAUGCCAAAAAUUAUAAUUUUUGAAACAAAUACUAUAGUUUUAAAACCAUGACAAAUCGUAUUUUAAAAAAAUUAGUGCACAUAAAAUCAGAAAGGGGUAUAUGUAUAAAAAGUUAUAUUAAAAAUGUUUUUAUGCUUGAUUUGAAAAAAGUUAUAUUAAAAAUGUUUUUAUGCUUGAUUUGAAAAAAGUUCAUGUAACAACACAAAGAACAAAGUAUUUAAAAGACAAGCAUACCAUCAUCUUUCAUCUUUCUCUUAUUCCUUGUCCAUUACCUGCAGGUCCCAAUAACCAUAUCAUGUCAUAUGUUUCAAAUUCAAAUUAUCUAUUAGUUAUAAUAAUCUUAUCAUGUAUUUCAAAUGUAUAUUAUCAACUAGUUAGCUUGUAUGUAUUUUAUAUUCUGAGUCCUAAUAAAAUAUAAUAAUAAUGUAAAUUAUAUUAAGAUAAUUAAUAUUAAAAAAUAUAUUUUAGUAAAUUUUAUAUUAUUGUAUUUGUGUUGUCAUUGUUAAUCAAACAAUGCACAUGAUAAAAAAAAUCGUCUAAUAAUUCUAGUAUUUGUCCUAUGUUGUUCUCGUUGUUCUAUUACAUUUUUAAUGUCUUAAAUUUGAUAUAUAUUAAUGUAUAAAUGUAGUUAUAUAUAACAUGUUGAAUAAAAUUUUAUAUAAUAUGUAUAUGCAGAAAAUAAACAUUGAUAUAUUGCAUAAAUUAAUUUUAUAUAAUACAAAAUGCAUUCGACAAAGGUAUAUGUAUUUUUAUUGUGUUAAAGUAUUAUUAUAAUUGUUAUAUAUGUGAGUGGUUGUACCAUACAUUUUUAAUAAAUAUAAACUAAAAUUAAUAUACAUGUCAUAUUAUAAAUUAAAAAAUUAUAAUUUAGUCUAAAAAAAUUAUAAUUUAGUCUAAAAAAAUUAUAAUUUCUCUUAUAAGGAUGACACGCUAGAUUAAGAGAUAGUAUACAAUUUAGAUAAGAGCAAAAAUUAAAAAAAAAACAAAAAAAUUGGGAGCUUAAUUAACUAAUUGCUAGAUUUUUAAAUCCAAAAAUAUUAUUAUUUUAAGUGAGAGAAUGUCUAAUUAACAAAUAUUUAGGGCUAACUUAGGCAUAAUAAAUGUUGAAUAUAAGGAUAAUUUGAACAUGGCGAUAUCUCUUUAACUAUUUAAUCCUAUAUUCUUUAAUUAUUUAAAACAUAAAAAAAAUUGAUUUUUUUCAUGGAAAUUUAUGCACAAUGAUAUUUUCUAAUGUUUAUUUUAUGUUAUAUUAGUUGACAUUUACUGUUAAAAUAAUUGCUUUAUAUUUGUUAACUGUUUGAUAAGUUAUUUCUUCAUAUGUUUAAUGAUGAAUAAUAAACCACUAUUAUGUAAAAACUGUUUUUUUUCAUAAAAAAAAAUUCAAACCACCCCACUAAUAUGUUUUUGGCUUUUUUAAAAAAAAUAAACGACUAUUAUUUAAAAAUUGACAUUUUUUAAUUUUAAAAUUCUAAACUACUAUUAUUUAAAAACUUUCAUUUUUUAUUUUAAAAGUUCAAACUACUAUUUGAAAACAUCUAUUUUUUAAAAAUUUUAAAACGCCAAACUAUUUAAUAUUUUUUUGAAUUUUUAUAUUUUAGACUAUCCCACUACUCUCUUCAUUUCUUAAAUGAACCACUAUUAUUUUAAAAUUGUCAAAUUUUUUGAAUUUUAAAAUUCUAAUAUACUAUUAUUUAAAAAAAAAGUAUUUUUUAAAAUUUAAAUUUUCGACGUAUCACUACUAUUUUCUUGCUUGAAUAGAAACCUUUCAUGUAUAUUUCAUUGAAAACCCUAUGUCAGUAACAACACACGAUGAAGUACAAGAUUAUGUUUUCCAUUACGAAUAUAUACUGAGACAAAAGAACAUGGAAUUAUUAAAUCUUUUAAAGCUGCCUUUUAUGUACUUUGUUCUAAGGGUAAUGGACAAUUGGAGGCUAUGAAGAGAAGAAAUUUACACGUGGUUGAUAAAAUUAGAGCAGGACAUUGCUAGAAGUAUACAUAAAAUUAGAAAUAAAAUAAAUAUUAAUAGUCAAGUUUUGCUUCUCUCAAUAAAUAUCAUAGCAAAUAAAAUAUAAAUAUUGUAGGUUAGACAUGGAAGAUUAAUAGUCUCAAAUAUGGUUUUGCUUCAACCAUAUUUUCUUGGUUGGACUUAGAUGUAUUGUUCCACUAAUGUAUUUCAAAAAAAUAGUAAUUAAUAAUGUAUACAAUAUACAUACGCCAAUAAUACUGAAAUAUAUUGAAUAAUACCUUGUGCAUUUUCAUUUCUUUCACCUAAUCACUCACACUUGUUCUAUUCUGUUUGAUGCCUUGUAGGAGAGUGAUAUAUGAAUGCAAGAAUUUUGUUCGUGUUUGACUGUCUGUUUUGUGCAAUCUCGAAGGCCAUGUGAAAUUACUAUCUUCCCACAAAGACUUCCUGAUUGGAAUAAUGAUGGUGUUGCAAUGUGGUCAGAGAAAGGGAUAUAACAUGAGAGCAAGAACAUGAAGGACCGAUUAAGAGAAAGUGUGCACUUACUUACUUGUUAUAGUAGCCACCCUUCAACUUGCUAUGUAACCAUUAAUCAAUGGCUCAUAAUGUAAGAGAAAAUAUAAAAAAUAAAUAAAAAAUCACUAAACAUUAUUAAAUUGAUAUGUGCAAUGAAUUGGAAUCACAUAUAGUUGCUAAAAGCGCAUGUGUCCUUCACUAAUUUGAAAAUGUUUUCCUUCAAUGAGUUAAAUUCUGCUUGAAAGUGUUGUAGAUUGAGAAAGAUAUAUAACAAUAUAGAAAUAAAGUUGUGCACUGAGAUAAUUGAGAGAGAGAGAGAGAAAGAAAGAGAAAUGGAAAUAAAAAAUUGGUGAUAGGAGAUUCAUUGGUUAAUUAUAAUUGUGGGCAGGUCAAAGAUUAAAAAAACAUAAGAAGAAGAAGAAAUUAAUUGUUAUCUUUGUAAUUCGUAGUGAAAGGGAAAAUGUUUCUCAAAAAAAGUGGGAAAAAAAUAGUAGAAAUUUUUAGAUUUGUAUAAUUAUUUUUUAUUUAUUAAGGGCAUAAUAGUCUUAUAAAAAGAGAGAUAAAAAAAGUGGUUACCAACAUCAAUAUUUCCUUUAUUUAUUGUUAUGUUAAUAUAAAAUUGUGUAAAAUUAGUUAUGGUUGUUAUUUUAUUGUAAUGAUUAAAGCAAUAAUUAGUAUAAAAUUGUGUAAAAUUAAUUAUGUGUUUGUUAUUUUCAUAAUAAUAAAUAAGAUUAUUAUUAUUUAAUAUAAAAAUUAGUUUCAAUGUGUAAAAAAAUUAAACAUUUAAACAAUUAUAAAGAAGAAAAAACUACAGUCCGUUUUCAUAAGGUUUCUAAAUCCGUCCUUUAUAUAUAUAUAUAUAUAUAUAUAUAUAUAUAUAUAUAUAUAUAUAUAUAUAUAUAUCCAAAGUUUUAGCCAAGAGGAAAGAAUUCUUUUAGGUUUCCAAAAGUUUUGGCUAAAACUUGGGGAGACUAUAGAUUAUCACUUCUUCACAUACAACAGUUAAAAUUUAAACCUAAAAAAAAUGCUCAUUUUUUUUUAUCCACGCUUCUUGAAAUUAAGAAAAAAAAAUAUUUCAUUUUCUUAUAAAUUCAAUAUUGUUUCUUUUAGAAGUCAUACUUUUUUUAUUUGUAAAAAUUGAACAUGAUACUAAAAGAUUUACAACACUCAUACAUUCUGUUCAAUCAACUAACUCAAAUAAACCCCACAUGUUUAUUAUUAAUUAUUUUUUCAUUUUUAAAUUUAAAUUGCUUUGAAUUAGUUAUGCAUAUAUAUAUAUAUAUAUAUAUAUAUAUAUAUAUAUAUAUAUAUAUAUAUAUAUGCAAUCAGUACUAUGAUGCACAUAAUGCUAGAUGUUCCAAUAAGGGGAGAAAGGAAAUCUAAACUUCAAGAAAGGGGAGAUGAUCCUUCUCAAGUUUUAGAGCGCAUCAACUAUAAUGCAUAUAAGAUUUGAUUUAUCACCAGAACUAUGGUGUGAGCAACACAUUUAAUGUUCCUGGCUUCUCUUUGUGAUAUUGGUACCUUUGACAUCUAUUGUAGGGCUAAUUCUUCCUUCCCAAGCAAAGAAGGGAAUGAUAGAGGACUAUCCCAGGAAGAAAAAUUUGGCUUGGAUUGACUCAACUAGAUAGAAGAAGAAAUAAAGAGUAAAAGAAACAAAGCUCAUAAAUUUUAGUCAAACUUUUAGGAUAAGAUUUAUUUUCGUUUUUAACGACAAUUUGGACUUAUUUUUGGACUUGUAAUGGGCUACUACCUUUUAUUGUUAUUUUUAAGUCUUUUAAUUAUCAUAUUAGUUAUUGGGCCCUAGGGCUUACUUUAGGGUUAUUAGUAGGAGUUACAAAUAUACUUCUUAAACACUUUGUUAAGAGUUUUUUUUUAAUGAAAUUUCAUACUAAACAUCGUCAAAAUAGUGGCUCUCUUGAUUCUUGUGUAAAAUCUUAGUUUCUUAUCAAAGAAUUUUAUUUUGUGGCGAAUUAUCCUCAACUUAUCAAUCUUUCAAGAUUGUGGUAUUGUUCUUUCCAUCUUCUUUUCUAAUUCUGUUUUUUUUCUUUUUAUUUUCUCCAAUUUCAAAGAGUCUCAAAUAGAUUCUCAAAUUUGUUGAUGCUAAAAAUUAGAUCCGAAAAUUAGGGUUUCAUCAACGCUAAUCCUUACAAAUGUAAAAAAAAAAAAAAUAGCAUUGAUGCUUGAUUCUUAAAUUUAAUGGGCACGAUUUUUUAUUAAGGAAAAAAGAAUAUAAAUAUCUAGGAUGGAGACGACCUAAAUGUGGGAAUAUUGUUUAUAAUAAUGCAAAAUGUUAACCAAGAAUUUAUUUUAAUCAUGUGUAUAAAAAAGACUUUAUUAAAAAAAUGUUAUAUUUAUUUUAUUGAUUCUACAUCUUAAAAAGAUUAAUUUCAUAAUAAAAAGCAUUACCCCUUAUCCUUUCAGGAUGAAAAGGGGGUACUGUUUGAGUUUUAUGGGUGCAAGAAACUACUAUAGUGGCUGUGGUUGGGCCAUUGCCCUUGCUGGUUUUUUUUAUUUGCACCGAUGACAAAAAAAAAGUCACACGACAAGUUUGCCCCUAAAAUAUUACAUAUUCCCGAGAACAUCCCUUAUCAAACAAAAGAACCUACGAAUCGCAUGAAAAGCGGCAUUGAGUGAGAGUGCUCCCUCUCCUCUCUUCUCUUCUGUUCAAACAAUGUCGCAAACGUUGCAUGCUUUCGUCGCCAAAAAUCUUGGUUAGUGUCUCACUUCUCUCUGCUUCAUUUGUUUAGCUUAAUUUACAAAUUAAACACUAGGGUGUUUUCAAUACGCGUUUCAAGUGACAUAAAUUUUUGUCCUUUUUCAAUGAAAUUCGUAGCCUUAUGAAUUUACGAUUGAAAGCUUCUUACCCUGUGACUGUUUUCUUCUUUUUGUUGCUGUUCUGUAUUUAAUGAUUUCUUAACCCCCAUCAUGUGUGUUGUUACUUGUGUUUCUAAUCUAUUGGCGUGGCUAUUAAGGGCUUUUGAGGCUUCAUCCUUUUGGGGAAAAUGAUAUUUUGAGUUUGGGUUUAUGAUAGAAUGUUGUUUGCGUUGCUGGUUUUGAAACUGGCUCAUAUUGCCCACUAUCUAUUUGUUGAACAGUAAUGUUAUAUCUACACCAGGAUUUCUCUUGGUAAUUGAGAUGUUAAUGAACAUAAACCAUUAGGCAAACGAUAAACGAGGGGAACUAUUGAACUAAUAAUUUACAUAUAAGUAACCAUGUGUAGAUCCCUUUGGUCUCAAAUAUAAGUAACAAAAACCUCUUAUAUUUUGUUUCAAAUAUAAACAAAUCUCAACUAAAGAAGUCUUAUUUAAUGAGACUAUCUUCAAAAUACUCUUCUUUUAAUAAGACCAAAAACUUUUUUUUUUUAUGUUUGAUAUCAAAUUCCAAUGGGGGUACUUUAGGGGAAAAAUUGUUUUUUAAUUGGGAAUGACACAAUUUAACGAAGUUAAAUAAUUUCCUUAACAAGUGUGAAACAUGUCUUCUUUUUCUUCUUAUAAUCAAGACCGGAGGGAGUAUAAUAUUACUACUUGUUCAAAUGAUCAUUGUGAGUGGUAACUGGUAAGCCGUGGCAAUUGUUCACUUCUGUUAUUAAUGGAAGUGCUCUUUCUCCAGUGUAGGAUUUUCAUCUUAAGUACUUGACUACCUUAUUUAUUUUGUUUUUAGUUGAGUGGGGGGUGGGGGUCAGGAAGGGCUUAUGACUUGUUAAUGGGCUUCUUGGUAUAGUAUGUCAAAAUAAGCUCUUUUUAGUUUAUUUCAAUAAAUUUCAUGGCCAAAUUUAUAAGUUAUCAUGUAAUAAGAGCUUAUUGAAUAAGUGCUUAACUAAAUUGUUUACCCAUACAACCCUUUGUCCAUGCAAUGUUUUCUUUCCUGAAUGUCCUAUUUGUCCUGCAUUUUGCAGUUGUUGAUAGUUUUUAUAGUAUACAUCAUUUUCCAUCAUGGUUAUCAACAUUCUUUUUGCGAAAGUAAACAAUCAAAGUGCAGUAAUGAAAAUGUUAGUCUUCAUUGACAGUAGAGAACAAGCUUCAUGUUGUUGAUGACUCUUUGAGGGGCACUCACCAAAGUUAACAUCUGCCUCUCCCUUUUUCUUGGAUGAUUGAACCAAUGUGGAUUUGCAUGUUUUAUCUGCAAGCUGCUUGUAGAAUAGUGUUAAGCCAUAAUGAUUGUAUCAUGAUUAGUUUGUUUCUAAGCUGGCUUUUCUAGAGUUGGCUCCAUGUUAAUAUUCAGAGCUUGAGUACUUGGUGUGUUAUCAUGGGUUUAUUUGGCUUCAGACCAUGUUUUGUGUCAUUUUGCCCUUUAAUUUUUUUUAGGAGUGUUAGGAACAUACUCUCUAACUCAGUCUUUGCUUCUGGUUAGAAUUUAUUGGAAAUUACAAAAUCAAGAUUUAAGAGCAUCACAAAAUUUUGUGUUUUUCAAUAAAUUCAAAGCAAUAGGAGUGUGUUAGAGAGUGUGUUCCUCUAUUUUUUUUCUUCCUGUUCUCAUACUUCUAUAUGUGGUGUCAAAUUAUUUUGGUGUUAUUGAAGGCUGUGGAAUGGCAGAAGGCAAGUGUCUCCCAUGUUCAGGUGUUUCUGGAAGAACUGCUGCUGUAUAUUCCUACUCUUCUCUAGGUCAUCACAGAAUUCAUUCCCGUGUCCAAGUUAGAGGACUAAAGUGUGGCUUUAGGGGUGCAUCUUUUGUAUGUGAAGCAAAGAGGAACCCAGAUUUCUCAAGGCAAAACAAGCACGGGUCCUCCAGAAGCAGAAAUCGGAACAGUGAUGGGAGAGACAGCUUUGAGAGCUUUGACGACGAUAUGUUUUCAUUAAAAAAUGGACCGCCUGUGUCUCUUUCAACCUCAGGAAAAUUCCAGGCCACUUCAGCCCCUGGUCCUAGGGAGAAGGAGAUUGUUGAGCUAUUUAGGAAGGUCCAGGCUCGGCUGCGUGAGAGGGCUGCUUCCAAAGAAGAAAAGAAAGUUGAAGCCUCCCGAGCGCAAAGUAAAGAGAACAGUACUGUAGAUUCGCUCCUCAAACUACUGAAGAAACACUCAGUUGAGCAAGUGAAGAGAAGUAGUGGGGGAGGCAGAGGAAAAGAUUUUAGUUCGGACCAAAUGCAAGAAAGUAACCAAUAUGAUGGAGGACGAAAUGCUAAAAUUUCUGAUUUGGAUAGUACUCCUAAGGAUGAGCCCCAAGAGGACAAUGUCUUCUCCUCCUCGGUAGCCAGGCCUCGGUCAAAUUUCCAAAGAAGGUCUCCCGUUCCUCGUGUAAAAUACCAGCCUGUCUCUAACGAUGAGGAUGAUACGGAUGUAGUGCCAGUAGGUAGUGAGGAUACAGAGAACAAUCAGGAUCAGAUAGAUUUGAAGCUUGAUGAUGAAGCCGAGUCUGACUCUGAAUCUGAUGUUGAUUCAAAGGAUGAGCUGUUCUUCCCAAACAUAGGGAUGGCUGAAUUGUCUGAGGAUGAUGACUCCGAGCAAACCUAUAAUGAUGAAAGUGUGGAGGAGCAGCCGGUGGCUCAACAUGAGGAUUUUAGUGCACUGAAGCUGUCCGAAUUGAGGGCACUUGCAAAGACUCGUGGCCUGAAAGGAUUCUCAAAAAUGAAGAAGAGUGACCUCAUGGAGUUGCUAACUGAGACCUGAUUCUGAUGGAUGAUAUACGAGAAGAAAAAGGGUCAAAACAACACAUGCCAUAGUAACAGAUUUUUUUUCUUUUCUUGUUUUUGACUUGACAUUCUAUCUGAUGUUUCUUUGUGUUUUUUUUUUUUUUUGCCACUCUAAUAUAAUUUUUCCAAGUACUUGAGGUUGAGAUUUUGUGGAACAUUAGAGUAAUCAUGAUAUCUUUGCCUCGGAGAAUUUUUAAAUUUGUAGUUAUAUUCCCGGGAUGAUAUCUUGUAGCUUUUGGUUAUUGAGAGAUUACAUCAUUGUCCUAGUAUUUUGUUUAUCUCCGUUAUUCUUUUGUUGAUGAAAUUUUUGGUGGUCAUUCAUAUAAUGCAUGUUCAAGCAUAAAGUCAGAAGAAAUAUCCAUCAUGGUUUUAGGUUAUGAAUGUACACCUCAAACCUUGUUAAGAACUUUGGUCAAGGUGGCUCAAAAAGUGUCUUGGCCCAUGUUAGUUUAUUUCUUAAUGAUUUUGUUCACAGCAAGCACAUGGUUUGAGCCUUUGAGGCAUCAGGCAUGAUUACCAAAUACCAAAAGCCGAAGAAAGCAUCUACUUUGCCUAAAUGGCCGUUUGGAAUCUUAGUUACACGCAGAAACAAACAAGUCAUUAGUCUGUUGUCGUUUUGGACCUUAUUUCUUGUAGUUUUUAGUGAAAGAAUUAUGCUUUCUUUUGCUUAGUUUGCAGGAUGGGCUAUGAUUCUCUUUUCUUUCUUUCUUUUUUUUGUGACAAAUAUUAAUUGUUAGUUUUGUUUGAAUGUUAAUGAAAGAGAUUCAAACUCAAUCAACAAUUUUUUCCUCUUCUCUUCUCCCUUCAAUCAUCAUAUCAAUUUUAUAUCUCUUAUAUGAUUGUCCCUUAAUUGGUUUGCAAUUUUGAUUGGAUUAAUUUUUAGAUCUAAACCUUGUUGAGUGUAAUUCGGAUUUAACUAAUUAGUGAUUAGUUGAUUAGGGUUAUGAGUGGUUUCCAAUAGUUAUAAAUAUAUGUACAGAUAUUCUAAUUCUAUCAUGUUCUAAUUCUAUCAUAAAAUGAGUAAAGAAGAAUAAGUACGCUACAUAUAUUUUUUUUCUUCUUUAUUUUCUCUCUCUCUCUAGCGUGCUAUCAAACUAGUCUCUAAACUCAAAGAAAUCAAUGCUGUGAGUUUAAUUUAUACCAAAUUUAAGUUGAUGGGAUCAAGUAAAUUAAUAUAAAUUAAAACAGGGUUGAGUGUAGCUUCUCACAAGGUGAUAAAUCAAAUUCAAAUUUUUGUUAAGAGAAUGGUCCAUGUUUAAUAUCCAAUCAUGUUUCCUAUAAGAUUGUCUUUAAAGAAAUAUAUUUAUAGAAAACCAAGAGAAAUAAAUAAUGCAAACUUUUCCCCUCCAAAAAAAUAAUACAAAUUUUUGUUGUGGUUUUGAGGGGAGGGGGUUUGGGAUUUAUUAUAGGAUGAACUGAUAAUUAUUAACCUAUUAAAUUAAUGAGAAUCGUAUAUUAUGUACAGAUCAGGUGGAGCGACAGAAUUGAAUUAGAUCCAUCUUGAAUUAAUAUUGGGACAUGAUUUGAGACAUUUAAAAGAUUUUUUUUUUUGUUUGAAGAAUAUUAUAUGGUCAGAAAGCAGACUUGGCAUGCAGUACUUACGUUCAAAUUGGGCAAAAGUACAGGGGUCAAAUUUUAACUAUUAAUUAUAACCUCAAAUUGUUAUUAAAUGUUAUCAAAAAACUCAACGUGUAAUUUCUUGAAUUAAUAAAAUAAUUUUGUCAAACAUUCUUAGUUAUAUAUACGUGUAUGUGUAAUCUUUCUUAAGAAAAUGAGAUCACUUAAGCAUUGGACUUGCCUAUCCAUCGAGCUAGCUAUGGAUUUUAGGAGAAUUCUUUGGUUUUGUUAGCUAUACAUGACCAAACAACUUAUUACAUUGUCGGCAGCAUCUUAUUAUUAUUAUUAUUAUUUUUAAGGAGACAACAAGUAGUUCAAUUUAAGUACAUCUCCAAAAGUGGACUCAAUCUCAAAGACAAGAUCCCAAAAGUGGUCGAGUUGAAUGUUUUUAAGUGUAAAAAGGCUGAACUUGCUACUCAAGCGAGUAAGUAGACCUAACAGUAUAAUUACUCUCAAAUUAUUUAUUAAAUAAAAAAUAAUUACAUCCUUUAAAUUAAAUUAUAUAUAUAUAUUCCUCAAACUAUGAUGAUGUAUAUUGUGUAUUAAAUUAAAAACAAACAUUACAGAUAAGUUUAAUUCACGUAACCUUUUCUUCUGAAAUAAAAUUGAUUCUUGAAAUUGUAAUAACCAUCGAACAUUUUAAUUCCUGAUUUUAUAGAACUAUAAUUUUAAAUUCACUUUAGUCACAUUUAAAAAAAGCAAUUCAAAACAUUAUAACGAAUGGUAUUCUACAAAAUUAAAGAUUAAAAUAGCCCAAUCUCACAUACCAAGAAUAGAAAUUAAUAUACUUUUUCUCUUGCAAGGUAGGGUGGGAUGAACAUGCCCAUUUCAUUGAUGUGAUGACUUGUUUAUAGGCCCAUAAUGAUUAUUAUCCAAGUCUGAAACACAGUACCAUAAUUAUAGUUUGGACUGGAGCCCACAAUUCAACUCCAACUUUCCUUUCCUUUUCUUUGGAAACAGCAGCACGUGCAUGCUUUCUGCUUGCUUCCAAAAGCAGCUUCCGUCAGAAAAUAAAAAGUGAGAAUAUUUAAAAUUUCACAUGUUGAGUGACCCCAAACCAUAAAAUUUUAGCUAUCUAUGAGACUUGUGGAUUUUGGGUUGCUGAUUUUGUGACUAAUGUGUGCUUUUUUCUAUCCAAAUUUAAUCCAUCACAUGGUGAAAAGGAGAAGGGGAAAUGAAUCCUUUUUAUGAUCUACUACUAUACUACAAACCAUGACGUAUACGGCAAACAUGAUAGGUAAUUAAUUAGCAAUUCAUGACAUUAAUGUUAAGAUCUUAGUCAGCAUAAUCACGGUUGACUUGUGAGUUUUUAGGGUGAAUGAGAGUUGUGCUUGAAUGAAGAUUAGGAUUAGAUUAAACACUUCUUCAUUGGAUCCAAAUUUGUUAGCUUCUUCUCACCUAAAAAACAAAACUGAAUUUAUGAGGGUUUUUUUCUAUAGGGGAAGUAGGUAGGGACUUUUUCGUGCAACUUUAUGAGAGUGAUAUACAGCUCAAUAUAUAUAAGCAAAUGGAUAGAGCAGUACAAUGAAUCGUAAUUAUUAUUGGAGAAAUGAUUAUUAAACAUUAUGUGAGUAAGGAAUAAAAACUUUUAAAGAUUUAGUUCUUACGAAUCUCGAAUGUGAAUUUUUACACUUAACAAUAUAUAUAUUUUUUAAAUAUUCCCUUGUACAUGCUAGAGCAUGGGAAAGAUUAAUUUUAAGGAUUUUAGCUUUUUGGGGGAAAAAAAGUUGUAUGUAAAAUAAUCCUGUACUAUAAAUUCAAUAAAUGUGAUACACUCUUAUUAAGUCGUUUUAGAGACAAGCUCGCUUAAAUAAAACAUAUUUUAUACUAGUAUGCAUUGCCUUAAAGUGUCUUAAUCAUUUAAUCUAUUUCUUAAUUGAAAAAGAUAUGUUUCACUUGUUAACAUUUUUUAAUUUAAAAUUGAAAAUGAUAACGUAUAAUUUAUUUUUGUUGCACUUUUUCGUUUUUCUCCUGAAAAUUUGGAUUUUUCGUAUAUUAGAAUAGGAUGAUGACGAUAACAAGAAUAAUUUAUGUUAAGUUACAACAUUUUAUAGCAUAACUUUCUCAUAAAUAUGAAUAUGGAUAUUUUCUUAUCAUCCGGAUAUAUAUAUAAAAGUCUGACAUAAAUAAGUUAUAAUCUUAUUGUUAUCUAGCCAAAUUAAUGUUGUAAAAUGUAUAUUAACAAUAAGGUAAGUAUCAAGUUCCAUUAUUAUUAGUAAUUUGUGAGUCAACUCUAAGGUCUUCACUAUUAUUCAUUUUAAAUUUUCUGAAUAUUUUAAUCACAGAGCAUACCUAUAGAAAAACAUUGACAGAAAGGAAAUAUAUAUAUAGAGAGAGAGAAUAAAUAAUCAGUUGAUGUGUGAUAAAUGAUACUAGAAAGAAAAUAGCAAGGAUGGAAAAAAGAUAAAACUAAAAGUAAAUAUAUAGAUAUGGUUUUUUAUAAGGCAUAUAUAUAAAUAUGGUUAGACUAGCCUAUAUAAUGAGUGCAGUGCUUGCCCACUUUCUUGAUAAUAAAUGAGUAAACCAAGGAAAGUGGAAACCAAGAGUUGCCCAAUUCUUGUUGUGUUUUUUUAUUAAGACACACAGGUGGCUAGAUGAUGAAACAAGCAUGUUACUCAAGUUUCAAAGCUGACAUUUACACAGAGGAUAUGCUAUAUUACUCAUAUAAAGUUAAUUAAAUAAACAGAUUUCACACUCUAUUUAAUAAUUUUCACGUAUUAUUUAUUAAGAUUUUGUAAAUUAUAUUUUCUUCCUCCUAAAUUAAAUGUGGUCUUAAAUUAUUUUGCACAGAUAAAAAAGUUAAUAAAUAAUAGAUGAACAAGAAUAAUAAUUUUAUAAAAUUAAUUUUAUUAAAUAGAUGAAAGAUAAUAAUAAUAAUCUUACAUUGAAACUAAAGUGACACGUAUUAGUUAUUAGGAAUAUUAUUAAAAAAAUUAAUAUUAUAUUAAAAAUUUAAUAUAACAUUUUUUUUAAAUUUUUUUAUUUAAAUAUGUUAGUUAGCAAAAAUGUGUUAAAUAACUUAUUAUUGACAUUUUUCACAUAACGUAUUGAACUAAACAUUACAUUGUGAUUCAGUUUUUCCCAUAGCAUAGUUAAGAAAGUGGGUAACAUUGGCCAAUCAAUGGUAUUUAUCUUUUAGCAUAAUUUGGUUUGAAGCAUGAGCAAUUUUGAGAAUCAUUUUAAAGUAACCGAUGGUACAAUGACACCCAUCUUUAACUCCUCCAUGUUUGUAGAGAAAAAGAUGAACCUGUCGAAAAUGUCACGGAAUAUUAUCGGCUCACAUGUUUGCCACAAAAUGUCACAGUUAAAUGGUCUCAAUUUGAACACGAGGUGUUGGAUCCCUAUUGGCUGGGAUCUAAAAGCAAGCUUGUUUUUUGGUUGAAAAAAACACUCCUUUAAAGUGAGGAAGUUUCUCAACUCAAAUGCAUGCAUAUAUAUAUAUACAUUAUUAUUGAAGUACUUCUUAAAUUUAUGUCACUUUAAUUUAAGAAGGGAUAUGUAAAACCUUUUUUCACUUUAGAGGAAACUGUUGGUACCAUUUAAUAGCCCACAAAGAUUGCUUGAAGGACUCAAUAAUAUUAAUGAACUUUAGUUGUUUAUUCAAUCCUUAAUGCACUAUUCAAUUUGAAAGUUGAAUCCAAAGAAAAUGGGAAAAAGAACUCAACUUACAAUGGUUUUACUGCUAUCACAUGGCUCCACUAGAAAGAAAAGUUACCAGUUUGCUUUAGCUAACUAAUUUGGUUGUAUCAUAGUCCAAUAGUACCCAAAUGGAGUUGUUAUUUUGUCUCCAUCAGCAUACUAUCCAUAUCUAUAUAUGAAAAAGGUUGGUUGUAUAUAAGACCUUAGUUUUUUUUGUGGCUUUUUAGUUUCUUUUUCUGCAAUCUUAAAGUGAACUUUUAAGUUUUAACCAUCUUUUUUUUGUGUGUGUGUGGACGAGAAAAUUGAUUCCUUUUUAAAUUUGUCAAUGUCAAGGGGUCAGUGCUAACGGAUACUGAGAUUUAUUGAACAACAUUUUACAGAUGAAGUUAAUUAAUUAAUUAGUUUGACCAAGCUUGAUAAUUAAUUAUGAAAAAGUGGAAAUUUUGUCAAUCAUUUGAUUGAAGUUGGUUGGUUUUAGGUAGUCCAGAGUCCACAAUCUACUAAAAACAAAGACACUCAUUUAAUUGUGGCUUGGAAUCUUGACCGUAGUUUUAGACUUGGAAUCACCAGUUUCAGUAUGGAUGCAUGUUUUUGAGAACGAUCUACAUCAAAUUAAAAAAUAAUCUGUAAAAUGAAUAAUUUAUAUUUAUACGCAUAACAAUAAUCAAUUCGGAAUUUCACUUGCUAAUACAAAUAGAUGAAAGCUACUCCAUAAAAAACUAUAAUAUAUGUUCACAAAAAAAAACUAUACUAUAUAAUUGUAUUUCAAAAUUAUAAGUUGUCCUUUUAAUUCCAUGCUUAAGUUUUGAUGAUGAAACACGAGCAUUAAAGGUUCAUCAUAGUAGCAAAAAAUUUAUAAUACGAAAUUUUAGUUUCAGCAUGUGCCCUUUUUUUUUUUUUUUUGAGAGAUUUCCAAUAUGCGCUUUUGAUAUUAUUUAAUUUUUAUUUAUUUACCUUUAAUAAUUACGUCAGUUGUUUCUUGCAAAAUCUAAUUACUUUCAUGACCAAAUUAAUUUUUAAAAAUUUAAUUUUCUUAUUUAAAUGUAUUUAUUAAUAUACUUAUUUGAAUUAAUUUUACAUAUUUUUUUUAAUUUUAAAAUUUAUAUUCUCAAAAUUUGUCGAAAUUUAAUAAUAUUAUGCAGUAGGAAAAACACUAUGUACACUAGUGUUAAAGAAAACAUCAACAUAUCUUUCUUAUCUUCCACGUCCCUCAUGAUGAGAGGUGGAUAUAUAAAUUGAACUAAUGUAUGUAUUUUAUAGCUUUUUUUUUACGGUAUGUAUUUUAUAACUUAAUUAAACGCAUAAAGUAUUAUUUUCUCCUCGAACAAUAAUUUCUCUUACCUUUUCAACGCAACUGUCCAAAUAUGCGAGACAGCGUAUCAUAUAGUGCAAGUACUUGAGAUUUGCCACAUUUUCCACUUUUGCUAAAUGAAAAAAAUAUGUGUGGCAAAAAGAGGGAUUUUGUUUGGGCAGAAAAUGCAUUGUAGUCCACUUAUCCUUCUUCAUCCAGGAAAAAUAAAAAACCGAGAUUCCAAAUUUUCAUACUGAAUUUGAGGUAGAAAAUAGUAUGCAGAUAUGGAAUAUUGUAACAUUUUUCAGCCAGAAAAAUAAAAGUAAUGAAGAAAAAAGAAUACUAUAUUAAUUAUUAUUAUUAUUAUUAUUAUUAAACCAUGAAGGAUAAGAAUGUCCUAAAAAGAAAAUAUCAACAAGAAAGAGGAAUUAUCACUCAAUAUUAAUAAAGGGUAACAAUACUACACAUUAUCUAAUAGUACCUUUCUAUACAAAUUUUGUUUGUUAGAUAAAAAUUAUGUAGGUCUUAUUAAUAGACAUGUGUCUUACUUUUUAUUUGGUAAAUUCUUUUUUCAAACCAGUGAAAUUCAUAUAAAUUUAAUUAAUAACAAUAUGUUAAAAACAAAAUAUUGGAAAAUUUCUAACUAAUACUCCUGUAAAUCAAUAAUAAUCGUGCAUACUUGACUUGGCAUAUUCACAUAUAAAAAGUAUUUCUUUUUAUUAAAAAAAUCUUGAUUUUGUGUUAUGUUUGUCCUCAAAUAUGUUAUUAUAAAACAAAACGUCUAAUCUGUAACAUGCUAUUACAUCUCAAAUCUUGUUUUAUCUCAGCACUGUUCAUUAGUAGUAUUUUCUUAAUUAAAAUUUGCCACGAAACACAAGAAAAAAAUUGCAACCGUAUCCGUAUGGCACAUUAUGGACCCACCAAUUAACCCAUUUUUAUGUUUUUUUUCCCCUUAAAUUAUUAUUAUUAUUAUUAUUAUUAUUAUUUUCCUAAGAAAAUUUCCCUUGUUGUUGGACCCUCUCCUUUCCCCCAGGCUUUCAGACAGCUUUGUUGGGAGAGAAAAUAAAAUGCAGGGACGAAUGAAUGAAUGGAGGAAGAUGAUGGCCUUCAACGACAACCAUUGAAAUUCUAAAAUCACAUGUUUUUUUUUGGAACCUUCCAUUCCAUUCCUAAUGGUCUGAGGCUGAUCAGGAUCUGUUUUCCCUCUCCCAUUUGAGUUUCAGAGCCAUGCAUUUAGGUAUGUAUGAAUAUUUAAUCAUCCAAAGCUUCUGUUUUUAAUCACAAAAUGUAAUUUUUUUUAAUUUAUUUCUUCUUUUUGUAUGGAUUUCUGAGGUGCCCUUUUUUGGUUUUGAUUUAUUGGUGGAUCGAAUUAGUUUUUCUAUCACUUAUACUCAAAAUCUGAGCUUUGGAUGAAUGGGGGUGCUGUGAAUUUAGAUAUGUUUGAUGAAAUCUCCUUAGCAAGUUGGAAACUUUCUCUGUGUUAUUGUUAGAGCUGUUUGUUAGCGAUUUAUUGGGUUGGCUAAUGGAAAGGUGCAUGCUUGUCAUUUAGGUGUCGGUGGAAAAUCUGGGGUGAAGUUGUCUAAAAGAGAGGGUGAUUUGGAAAUUUUUUAUUUCUGUGGUUCCCGGAAGAUGAAGUUUUAUACUUUAUAUUUGAAUUAGGGUCUUUUAAGUGGACGUUGUUGUCAUUCCAUGAUUAUUUUACUGGAAUUUUUGAACCGAAAAUUCUUUCUGCUUUAGUUGACUUUGACUUGUCUUGCAUGCAUCAUUUUCAUUGGGGAUAGGCCUAUGUUACUAGUUCCACAAAGGUAAGGUGGCAUGUACCCUUUGCUUGGUCAAUAAUAACCUCUUUGUAGUUUUGUACCUGACCCUUCUUCCUCCAUUCCAUCUUCCUAUGGUUUUUUGUUGCUGUUGGAUUCAUCGAAGUUUAUGUCUAAUGCCUCCUAUAGUGUGAUAUUCAAAUAGACAUAUGUACAAGAAUCAUUAGUCAUGAUAUGUUUUUGCGUGAAGAGAAGCUUGUGUUACUACAUCUGGAAUAUUUAUCAACAUUUUAGUCUACCAUGCACUUGAGUCCUGUUUAAUUGAUUUAAAUAAAUGAAUAUAUAGGACUAAAUAGGGGGACUAUCUUAUACAUUUAAGUCAUUUCCCAGUGCUUUGUUUAGAAUUCUUUUCUGGUUUGUGUAAUAUUAGUUUAUUGUAUGUUUUUUCUUGAGCAGGUCAGACAGAUACUACUUCUGUGAAAUGUCUGAUCAACAGCAUUUCUCGAUUCAUUCAUCUGGUUUCUUGUCAAACAAUGAAACCUAUGCCCUUUCAGAACAUCUGUAAUAAUAUGGUUGGGGUGUUAAAGCGCUUGAAACCGGUGCUUGAUGACAUUAUGGAUUACCAAAUCCCUUCAAAUGUAAAUCUAUGUAAAGAGUGUGAGGAAUUGGAUAUGCAGGUUAAUGAAGCUAGGGAUUUCAUUGAAAAAUGGAGUCCAAAGAUGAGCAAGAUUCACAGUGUAAGUAAUCCCAUGUAUUCUUAUAGUCAAACUAAUACCAUUAUCCAACAACUGUAUUUCCUGCUUGUUUAAGAUCAUUGGCCACUUUGUUGCUAUUUGAAAGUUGAAAAAGACAAUGAACUUCCAAUAUAGGCAAUACCUCUGCCAUUUGUCUUAGUUGGGUGAAGGUUAAUUGCAAUGCUUAACUGUUAUGUUGGGAUUAUUCUAUUUUCAGGUUCUACAAGGUGGUACUUUGUUGAUCAAGUUACAGAGCACCUCUCUAGAUAUCUGUCACAUGAUAGUUAAAUCCUUACAGUCACCUCCAUCUGCAUCAGUUUUGGCUAAUCUUCAGGUAUGUGCAAAGUUGGAGGUUACCUCUCUAUCUCUUUUUCCUGAUCAUUAUUCUGCUACACCUCCAAAAAAUAUAAUUAAGAAAAAAAUUGAAAUCAUGUAUUUAGGAGGAAAAGUCAUUGUCAAUUUUCAGGUGUCUUGUUGAUCUAUUUAAGCAUGAGACUAAUUUCUGGCAACUUUUCAGCACUAUAUCCAGGAACUUCAGUGUUUCAAGAAGGAAAUGGCUAUGGUCUUCAUAGAAGAAGCACUAAGAAACCAAAGAGAUAAUGUUGAACUUUGCACGGAGCAUCUCAAGGAAAUUAUUGAGUUACUUAAAUUGACAUCAAAUCAGGAGCUCUUAAGAGAAAGUAUUGCUGUGGAAAAGGAAAGGUUGAAUGCUGAAGUCAAUAAAAUGAAGGGGGACUUGGAAGAACUUGAUGAUAUUGUGAUUCUUGUCUGUAAUUUGCGUGAUUAUGUGAUGAAAACUGAGUGUCCUGUAGUCAAGAGUGGUCUGUUAAUCCCUCUAUACUUCCGCUGUCCUUUAUCAUUGGAACUCAUGUUGGAUCCUGUCAUUGUGGCUUCAGGUCAAACAUAUGAGAGGCAAUCCAUCCAAAAGUGGCUUGAUCAUGGGCUGACUGUUUGUCCCAAAACUCGUCAGAGACUUACUCCUACAAAUCUCAUACCUAAUUAUACUGUCAAAGCUAUGAUAGCAACUUGGUGUGAGGAAAAUAAUGUCAAACUUUCUGGUAACUCUGAGCAAAAUAAUUCUGCCUGUAUCACAUCCCCCUCGGACCAUUUAUUGCCUCAAGAUUUAACUCAUGAUUGUUGUGUUGAGUCUUUACCUAGUAGCAAUUCCAUUUCAAGAUCAGCUCUGCAAACUGAAAAUGCAUUUGAAAAGCAAAAGGGUGAUAACUCUUUCAGAUUAUGCGAAGAAUACAAUGGAUGCCAGAGUGGAGCAAUUGAAAAGUGUGAGCAACAGUCCCCAUAUACUCACAGCAGAAGUGAAUCAUUUUCAAGUUCAAUUUCUAGUACUGAUUGUGCGCAUGCAGUUUCAAAAGAGGUGUCAGGGAUAUCCAAUAAGCUUCAAAAUGUGAAGGUACUGUCUGGAGAAAUCACAAAGGUGUGUCCUCCUUCUCCUGGUAACAAACAAUCAGGGAUCUCUCCGUGGUUAUCUGGAACGCAAUUUCAAAGCCCUGGAUCAAAUGUGGGAGUGUUGGAGAAUGGAAAUAAUAAUAAUAGUCAUUCAAGAUUUGAUUCCCAUCCUGUUUUCAACUCCGGGUCGGAUGAAUUAACCACCUCAUCUCAUGUUAUUAGAUUGAUUGAAGACCUUCACAGCCAAUCAAUUGAAACGCAAACUGCUGCUGCAGAAGAAUUGAGGCUCCUUACAAAGCAUAACAAGGAAAACCGUAUCAUUGUUGGGCAGUAUGGGGCUGUUGCACCUUUGCUUUCACUGUUAUAUUCAGACUUGCAGGUAACACAAGAGCAUGCUGUUACAGCUCUGCUGAAUUUAUCAAUUAAUGAAGACAACAAGGCCUUGAUCAUGGAAGCAGGAGCCAUAGAACCACUUAUCCAUGUUUUAAGUACAGGAAAUGAUAGUGCCAAGGAGAAUUCUGCAGCAACUAUAUUCAGCCUCUCAAUAAUUGAGAACAAUAAAGCAAGAAAUUGGCCGUUCUGGAGCAGUUUAAAGCUUUGGUGGAUCUUCUUGCCUCAGGAACUCUUAGAGGAAAGAAGGAUGCUGCUACUGCUCUAUUUAACCUGUCAAUAUUUCAUGAGAAUAAAGCUCGUAUAGUUCAAGCUGGAGCGGUGAAGUUUCUGGUUUGGUUAAUGGACCAUGCUGAAGGAAUGGUUGACAAGGCUGUUGCUCUUCUGUCAAACCUGUCAACAAUUCCAGAGGGCCGAUUAGAAAUUGCAAGGGAAAGGGGCAUCCCCUUACUAGUUGAAAUUGUUGAGUAUGGUUCACAGAGGGGAAAAGAAAAUGCAGCCUCCAUUCUCUUGCAAUUAUGCCUUCAUAGUUCUAAGUUCUGUACUCUGGUUUUGCAAGAAGGAGCUGUCCCUCCCCUGGUGGCAUUAUCGAUAUCCGGUACACCAAGAGCAAAGGAAAAGGUGUGGAGCUUAUCCUCCUUAUUGGUGGUUAACAUUUUUAUUGUCUGUGAAUAUCUAUCAGUCAGUUUGCUGCAUUUUCCUGAAGUCUUGUCCUUAUCAUAAUUAUGCACUCAUUUUGUUGAAACUGAGGGCUGCAAUCUAGUUUUGUAACAUUUCCUCACGAGUUUAAUUUUCAUGUGCAUUAUUAGUGUAAAUAUGGUCAACCUAUCAGAUGCUAUCUUAGGUAUGACUGUUAAGGUAGUUAUAUUAUAUAAGUCAACAAACUUAUUAUACAUGACGAUAUAUGAUUGGAUGACUGUGUAUCAAUGCAUUUUAAUUAAAUUCUUUUCUCAAUAGUGCAUUUCUCCAUCCUAAUCCCCUUUCCCCCAAAAUAAUAUUUUCCCCUCUAUCUGAACAUGGAAAUUUUCACUAGUAGCAACUUACUAUAGGUAUUAUGAGAAACUUUGGUGGUCCUGUCAUGACAUACAAUGUCUCUUGUAAUGCGAGCAUAAUCUUCUGAAAGGUGUAUGAAAAAACGCUGACACGUACAUGUCCAUGCAGGCACAACAGCUUCUCAGCCAUUUUCGUAAUCAACGGGAAGCAGCUACUACUGGGAAAGGGAAAUCAUGAAAAUAGCCAAUUUUGGUUAUUCCAUUGCCCCUUUGUCUUGCCUAAGUAACAAACAUGUGAUAGCUGCUGUCUAGUAGGCUUAUAGGACUUUCAUUGCAUUCUUUUGAUAUUUUUACUCGUAUUAUUUGCGAAGCUGUCUUGUUAUCUUUAUUUCAGUGCCUUGACAUUGCUUAUUCUCAAGUUCAAAAAUGGGAUUGGAACACCAUUUCUUCCCCUAUUGUCAGGGGUAUUAGUCUUUUCCAACUUUUUGUUUUGUAUGGACUUCUAAUUUUCUUUCUUACUUUGGUGGAGAUAGGCUACUUUCUGAAGCUUUAGCUUGGCAACAUGUAAACCACAAUGUUAUUCAGCUAUGUGGUCCCAAGUCAGUGUUGUAUAUAUUUGUACAUAUACUAUAGAUUUUUGUGAUCUACUAUAAAUCAUUGUACCUUACACUGCUCUUCGAGCUUUGUGAUCUACGGUUUCAUUUUGACCUUUUGCAUUAUCUUGCCAUAGUUCAUAGGCUAUGUUGCAAAAUGUCGUGGAAUUGUACCUCUUUCUCUUUCAUCUAUAUUGCAGAUGUGAUAGAACGGACAAAAUCACCGACACCGUGCAACUGGAGCAAUUGGGUUUGGACUGUUCAUGGGUUAGUUUGGUUCAGGUUUCAAAAUUCAGUCAAUUUGAAUCAAAUCUGAAUCAAACCAAUUCAACCAAUUUGAUCUUAAUCAUUUUUUCUUUUUCUUUUAAUUGACAAAAUGUUAGUUGUUAGUUUGUUUUUAUUAGGGAGGGAUUCGAACCUAUCAUGUCUUUUUUUUUAAUAUUUACUUAAUAUGUGAUAAAAAUAAUCAUUUCAUAACUUUUUUUAGCUAUGUGUAUAGAGUAACACAAAUGGGAAGAGGAAGAGGAAUUUUUUCUUAACUGGUACUCUACUUCGAGGGGAUUAGUCUCAUUGUUUCUGACAUCUGGUUGUGGGAUAUCUUGCCAUCAAAAGUAGAAGAUUAUAAGAACAAACUGUAAAGAAAAUAAGAGAGAAGACAAAAGUAGAAAAAGAAAAGAAAAAAGUAGGCACUAAGAUAAAAAAAUGUAUUAAUAUGAAAGUUAAAAAACUGUUGAUCUGAUUAUCGUGUUAGGUUUAUGUUGAGAAAAGAUAAAUCCGAACAGCGAACAAAUUGUAAUGUAUUUGGGUUGAUUUGAUUUUGAAGUAAAAGAACUCAAUUAACAAAAUUAAUUAGUUUGAUUUAAAUUAUUGAAUUCAUUGAAUCAAUGAUCCAAUUAAUAUCCCUAUUCGACUUUUCGAAAUCACCGACACGGUGCAACUGGGUCUGGAGCUCCAACAUUAUCCAUACCCAUUAGAACUUGUAAAAUAUCCCGUAAUAAUAAUGUACUAGUUCUCACUACGGGUAUACCUAUUGGGCCUAGUUGUAAUCACCAGAGCAAACUAUUGCGCUUAUCAACCUUUUUCCAUUCUGGAGGUUUUACGACCAUGAUUUUGAGUGUUGCUAGGUGCAUCCAACACUAAUCACAAAAAGAUAGAAAUACCCCUUACGGAUCAACUUGAUCCGUAAGUUAAUUAUUAAGACUUACGGAUCAAGUUGAUCCGUAAGUUGAUUUUUAAGAUUUAUGGAUCAACUUGAUCUGUAAGUCUUUUACGAUCACUGAUCGUACGUCUUAAAAUCAUUAACGAUCAACUAAUCUAUAGAAGAAAUAGCAUGACAGUUUACCAUUUCAAAAAAUAAUGGGUGCACCUAGCACACUCAUGAUUUUCAUCCAAUAAAACGUUGACAUAUAUCAGUAUGGGCUAUGCUUCAUAUUGUGGCCCACUAUUGCAUGGUUCACGUAACAUAAUACGUAAAUAUUAUUGACCGAGUCAAAGCGACAUGCAGAUACAGCCAAGAGCAGAAAUACAACUAUACAAGUAAAUGUCGACACCAAAAAAAGAAGAAAAUAAUGUGUUGUGAUCCUUCUUCCUUAACUAGGGGGAAACUGUAGAACAAAUAAAAUUAGGCUUGAAAUUGUGUGUUUAGAAUUUUUACUCUGUCACCACCCAUCUUAAAUAGUGGAUACGUUAAUUGAUAUAUCUUUAUAAGUGUCAACUAAGUUAAAAGGCCAAAAUCAAGAAGUAAGCAAUAAUAUUAAUUUGUAAAUUGCUUAUAAAAAAAUAUUAAUUUCUUACUUGAGAUAUUUUUAUCAAAAUUUUGGCACACUUUUCCUUGAAAUAUGAACUUUCCUAAUUAGCACAACCUCUGAAGAUAAAAGAAGCAAGAACUAAAUACUCCAAGGUCUCAUAAGUCAAACAGUCGUGGAAUAAAUGAAUAAAACUUGAAUGGAUCCCCUGAUUUAAAUUACUUUAUUUGAUUGUUACCAGAAUAAUUACUUUAUUUGAUAUGUGUAUUAGAAUUAAUUAAAAUUUCAAUUCCAAGUUCAAUUUGAUGGAGUUGAAAUAUUAUGGAUCUUAUUCAUUAUAUUUGUUGUCAAAAUAGUUUAACAACCAUGUUGUUAUUCGUGUUCCAGUAACAUUGCCGUAAUAUUUUUUAUUGAUAGACAUUAAAUAAAAAGGUGUCUAUUGGUAUUUAAAAAAAAAGUCAAAAACUGAUACAAAAAGGGAGAAAAAUCAUAAAAAAAAAUUAUAUUAUAAAAUCAAUUGAAAAAAGAGAAUAUAAUAAAAAGAAGGGAUCCCACUUACGAGUCCUGAGUGAAACCUGCAAGGCCCACGUGCACACUUGUGGCCAAUGUCUGCUAACUAUUAGAGUGACAAGACCUCUCUGGUCCCACUACCGAUGUUAUAUUAGUCUUUCGUUUUCAUUCACGUGGCACUCUCGGAACCCUUGAAUAAAAAUUUUCAUUGAAUAGAAAAAUAAAAAAGAAAGAAAAUAGUUAAUUUUCUAUUAAUUAAUUAUACCAUACAAAGAUAUAAAUUUCAUAAGCUAAUAGUAAUAUUAAUAUUAUCAUUUCAUGAUUUUAAUACAUUUGAUAAAAAAAUAUAAUUAUUUUAUAACUAUUAAAUUAUAAUACUAUUUCGUCAAAUAAAAUAAAUAUUUAUUUGUGUAUGUGAACACUUUUUAUUUAUUUUUAUCACAUAUACAAUAAUAUGUUUGAUUGCAUAACAAAAUAGCCUAAAUUUAAUAUAGUGCUCCAAGUAUAAUAUAUUUUUGUUCAAUUUAUGACCAGCUCAAGCUCAAACCAAUGUCCCCACUGGAAUUAUAGCACAAAUGUGUUUAGUGUUUUUAUUUUUCUAUUGGCGCCAACACAGGAAAAUAGAUUUUUUUUAAUAAGAGUAAGAAAAAAAAUACUAUUCGUAUAAAUUUUUAUUUUCAAGGUGUAAAAUUUAAGAGUUGUCUUUUAAUCAUGUUUUUUUUAUCUAUUUUUUAAAUUUAAUAUCUUAUUUAAAAGAAUCAAACAUAAUUUCACUAGAAGUAACAUGUUGUUCUAUAAAUUAUGUGGAAGAAUUUAUUCCCUCAAUUUUGGCUGAAUGUUUUUAAAAUAGAUAUAUAAAAAAAUAAAAGAUAAGAAAUAAAUAAUUACAUUUUUAAAAAUAUUAAAUAUUACUUAUAGUAUAAAUUAUUUAAGAAUAAUUUGAAUUUUCCUACCACUUUCUUUCUUUAUUUCUUUCUUCUUCUUCUUUUUUUUAUAGAAACCUAAUUAUAUUAUUGAAAACUGAACAUGCAUGUGAAUACUACUUCUCUCUACUAAUCUUUUAAUUACUUUUUUUUAUAUAAUAAGUAUUAAACAUGGUAUAUAUUUUCAAGUUAUUAAAUAUCAUUAUUUUUUAUUUAAUAUUUUAUAAGAUAGACUCAUUAGUCAUUAUUUAAUGUUAAAAUAAUAGAAUUUAAAAUGAAAAAAAAUGUAUUAUUCUUCCUAUCCAAAUCCCAUUUCUGAUUUCUUCACAUAUUGAACGAACCACUGGGAAUCAAACACAUGACAAACUAUCAUAUCUCAUAUCUGUCAAUUCCAAAAACCGAAUUCCUUCGUUCCUUGCCAGUUGCCACCAAGCAUUUCUUUCAAGAAGUGUUAGUAAUUCAAUCUUUAACACACACAGAAUAUAUAUAUAUAUAUAUAUAUAUAUAUAUAUACUGUUGAUUAACAUUUCAGAUCUCUUGCGAUUUGCAAAACACACACUUGCUCUGUCGACAAUGACUGGCGAAUCAAGAUCUUCUUCAUCGUCACUGAAUUUGGCUCGAUUAGGGCACAUAAGAAAUGUAUUACUGGAAUGCUAAUAACAAAAACAGUCUCUUCCUAGACUUUCAAAGAACCAAUUAAGAUUGAAAAUUUUGUGGGACUCAUGUCAUGCUAUUUCCUCCUCUCUCAAAAGAGUUUUUUUUUUCUUUUCUGCUUUUUUAGAAAGAAAAAAAUCUCUAUUUUACUUUUAGUGGAAUUGAAGUUGUAAUCUAACCUAUAUAAAAUAUAUGCGAAUCAGUACUUAUAAAGAAUUUCGGCAUAUGCAUCAGGGGUUAGUUUUGUAUAUUGCUGUCCCGCAAACAUAUUUUGGUUUGUAUACUAUUGAAAAACUAUAAUGUUAACAAAAACCUAUAUUCAGCAAAUUUACAGUUAUAAAAAUAAAUGAAUAUAUUAAAUUUAUAUUAAAAUAAAUUUUAAUAUAUUAUUAAUUAAAAAAUGUAUAUAUAAAUAAUUAAAAUUAUUUUUAUUAUUUUCUUCGUAGGGAAGCAUAUUGCGAGAAGUUCCUAUUCAUAUCAAAAUUUGGAAUUCCUAUAUAUAUUCUCAUUAGGAAAAAAAGGUCCUAAAUUUGGAGUUCUAAUAAAUUGAAAUCGUCCCAACGGGGCAUUUUGAAAUGAGUGUGUAUGAGAAGUUGCGAUCCAGGAAUAGAACCAAGAAGGAUUCAGAUGCACCUGGACCGUGGUAAUCCCACUCAAUGGUCAGAUCAAAAUUGACAUAAAGAGUAUCUGAACAUUACCUUACAUUCAGGGUAUGUUUAAAUGGAGAAAAGAGAAUUGAUGAAGAAGGUCCUAAGUAACAAAAUCGAGUAAAAAGAACUAUAUUAAGUACACAUUCAAAUCAUCAAUUAAACAUACCCUCCUCGACUUGCUUCUAGCUAGACCUAUGAUGGCAUGAUGAUUAGAAAUUUAGAACUGUUUUUGUUCAGACAUAUAGCUGGAUAUAAUGGAGAAUUUAGCGCCACAAAGGUGGUAGUCAAUUUCAUAGGAUUCUCUUUUAGUAGUAAGAAAAUUAAAAAUUAAUAGGUCUUCGUUUUAUGAUGAUCACCCUUUUUUAAAAAGAGAAAAAUAGGAGGGGUUCCCUUAAUAGAACAUAGGAUAUGAGUUUCUUACGUUCCUACAAAAGUUAUUAAAGAGUAAAACAGAAGAUUAACUUUGAACAUUAAACAUAUAAGUUAUAUAUUUGAUGAAGAUCAAGGAGAUUAAAAAGAAGUGGUCGAAUGUCAAAUCGUCCAUUGGUAAUUCUCAGGAAUUUGAUGACUAUAAUUAAAAGUUAUCCCAAUUAGAAAUGUUCACAGGUUGAGUUGAAUUAGAUUUGGUUAAAUUUUAUUAUUUGAUCAAAUUUUUUUGAGUUGGAUUUGUAUAAUUUAUGUUACAUAUCCAACCCUAUUCAACUCAAUGAUAAAUAAAUUGAGUUAAUUAAAUUAUGAUAAUAUAUUUAAAAGUGGUCAAAUUAUAAUAAUAUUUGUUUAAAAUUUUAUAAGUAUAUAAUGAUUAAAUAUAUUUGAAAGAGAUCAAAUUAUGAUAAUGUUUUACUAAAGAAUUAAUGAUUUUAAUGUUAUAACAAUUUUUUUAUUUCAUAUAAAAAUAUUGUAUUAGUAUGAGAAAAUAUAAAAAAAUUAAAAUAAAGAUAAAAAUAACUUAAAAAAGAAGAUUGGUGGUUUAAGUUAAUAAAUUAUGUGAGGUAUUUGUACGGAUUUCCUUGUGGGGGUAGAUUUGGUAAACAUGCCUAGUAUGCCGAAUGAUAUUGGUUGAUUAUAUUCAGAUAUGAAAGACAUUAACUAUUUUUGGUUUAUUUAGUUACGUAUACCACAUAUGGAUUUAGCAAGGUGCAAUAUGUUUUAAUGUUACUUCUUCAUGCAAGCUGGAAAUCAAGGGGUACAUUUUUUGGGGUAAAUAGGGAUACAAUAAUUUAAAUUAUGCAGCACAUAUUAUAUUCUUCUAUGACACAUCCUAAACGUUCUUGUGUGAAAAUUUUCAAGCAACGAAUAACGACGAAAAAAUUUCGUAUUGUUGUGGGGCACUAUAUAUUGUUUUGGAUGACAAGCCUAGUCAAUUACUAGCAUAUUGUACUAAUUGAAGCAGCUAGCAAGGAAAACGAAUUAUUAAAGCAGUGUGUGAGAGAGAGGUCUCCGAAUCCAAUAGCAUGCACACAUGUCUUUUUGACAUAUGCAUGCCAAUUGAACAAUACGUAGAAGUAAUAUUAUUAUACGGUAACGCUUGCUUGUAAAUUGUAAUGAAUUUUGUUUGCUUUUGGAAAGGUGUUUUUUUUUUAAAUAAUUAAAUUCGUAUCCGAAAGCGUGGUAAUAAAUUGAUUUUUAAACGAUAAAAAUAUAAGUUUAGUACAUGUGUAAAAAGAUGUUAUAAAUUCAUAUUGACAUUAAAUUUAUAAAAUUAUUUUAUCAUUAAAUUAUAAUGUUCAAAAAUCAAUUUAAUAAUAAAUUAUAUUUGAAGAUUAAUUUCGUAUUAAAUUAUAAAAUUAUCUGUAAAAUUAAUUUAUUAUACUUUUUAUAAAAUUGAUGAAAAAAACUUAUUUAUUAUUACCUCACAGUAUUAGCAGUAAUGAAUUUGAGUAUUUAGCGUUCUUUUUCUUGAGUUAAGAGAAAAAGGAGUUGAAAUUUUGUGGUGCAAUAAUUGUGUUACGCAACUGGAUUGGAUCUGCAAAAUACUGUUGAUAACGUGAGAGGGAGUUCAGAGGGGGCAGUGGCUAGACCCUUGGAUUGGAGAAACACUCUCUUUGAAGUAUUAAUCAGAAAGAGCAGUCACUAGCUUAAAUCACGCAGUUAUGGGGAAGGUAAACUUUUUGCGCAGCUUUACUGUCCCUUUUGGCUUCUAUUGCCCGAUCUGUUUCUCUCAUACUAGUACCAGUACCAGUACCAACUCAGAACACUCAUCAGUAAGUGAGUGUUUGUGUGUUCAUGUCCUAUGACCUACAAGGAACACUGGCCCAUCAGUGAAAUUUGGGGAUAUGAUAUCAAUCAUUGUAAAUAGAGUUAUCAAACUUAAUUAAAAAUUACUUUAGUUUUUAUUUUAUAAAUUUUAAUUAUCAAAUAUAAAUAUAUUAUGCAAGAAAAAGUAAUAUCCUAGUAUCUAACACAAUAUAAUUCACUUGACAAGACAUGAUAUUGAAUUUGUGAAAGAUAUAUAAUCUGAUUCUGAUGUCAUAUAUUAUACUCUUGGAAAAAAAGACAAUAAACUUUAUAUAUAAUUAAGUCUCAAAUCAUGAACUAGUCUUAAAAUUAAUUCAAAGACCAAUGAUUAUCUUGGGAUCCCAUAAAAAAAGAUAGAAAUCCUUGUUACGGCUUGAACCAAAAAUAUACUAUUACUUAGCAAGAUUUACAUCCAAAAUCUUGUAUUAACUGUAAGUAAAAAUUAUAAUUUCAUAAGUACAAUUAUAAAUUAGUUGUUAAUAAAUUUUAUAAAUAUCAAUUUAGAUUAUUUUUUAGUAUCACCUCAAGAAGAGGAAUAUUUGUAGCAUAUUUGAUAGUCUUAAGUGGUCUUUAACAAGCUAAGCCUAUUCCUGCAAAGAUUUUGAUGUUCAAGCCAAUAUUUAUAUAGGUAGAAGAUGAUAUAAUGCAUCGAAUCAGAACUUAAUUAUCCACAUUCAAGACUCAAUAGGUUUACUUGUAUUAAUUAAUGUAUCACCAUCCGAACUCGUGUGGUUAACACCAUCCGAUCCUGACCUAACUUUGAUGGUAAAAACAUUCCUUGAUCGACAUUGAAGUUGGGGUUGGGUUUUUCCACUCUUAAUUGUAGAAAUGGGGCUGGAUAGGGAUUUAGGGAUUAAACUCAUGUCUCGACCUUACCUUCAAACCCACCCACUACAUAUACUUUUUUUGUUACGAUUUUUUUUGUUAAUAUAACAUGCACGCACACACACAUUUGUAUUUGAGUCAAAUCAUAUAUUUAUUUUUAUAAUUAUUAAAAUAUAUAGAUUAAUUGUUUUAAUAGUUAAUAAUUUAAAUAAUAAUAAUAUUGAUUAAAUGAAAAGCUUAAAAUUAUAUAUUCUAGACGUGAAAAUUCUUUCUAUUUCUUUUCCUCCCCAUUUCUUUUAUUAUUAUGAUUUUGAAACAAUAAAUGAAGUGAAUAUCAUACAUAUUUAAUGUACAUUUAUUUUUCAAAAUAAUGGAAGAAAAAAAAGAAAAAGAAAAUGGAGAAAAUCUUUUCUGGCGUAGACUACUAUUAGUCAGUAUGUGUGUUUUACUAAUUAGUGAGUCUGACAUGAGUCUUGAGCUAUCUCUUAUUCACUAUGCAUAUGUUAACAUUUCGGUGAGACUGGGUCCAAUCCAAAUUAAGUGUUAGAAUUAUAGAUUAUAGACUUCUAGCUAGAUGUUGUUAUAAUUUCAACAACGGCUAUAUAUGCAAAUUAAAUUAACAACCUUAAGGAAAUUUUAAGGGAAUCCGAUGGAUGGUAAUUUGCAUUAAGAGUCUAUUGUCUUUAUAAACUAUGAUCAGCAAGACAAGAGCACCGUUACAUCAUCGAACAUAUUGGAAUGACAUAAGCAAAAUUUAUAACCACAAGCACUGUAGCUCGUAUUCAAUAAUUCGAGGCAGUUUGGUUGAAAUGUUCCACCUUAGAACACGUUUAUAUGGUAUGAAUUCUAUUCAAGUACGUUCUCGUACAUUUAACAUAAAUGACCAAACAAUGCUAGGGACAUCCUUCAACUCAACCAAAACCUACCUCCAAUAUUUCGAAGUUUUAAAAAAAUUAAACUUGAGCUCUGAUAACAAAUAAAAAAGUAAAAAUGCAAACAUGGGGUACGUUAUGUAGUUCUGAUUGUACUCAAUUAUUUAAUUUAUGGCAGUUCCUCUUUCCCAUUAAGCUCAUCGCACGCGAGAUGAACUUUGAGCAUUGACAAAUCCCAUCUCAAUGGUAAAAGAGAAAUAUCAAUUUCAGCAUUGAUUUCGGGCAUUGAUUGCCUUCAAGAUUAUUUGAAUGACAAACUUUUAUUUAUUUAUUUGAUCUAAUGACAAAGCUUUAUUAAACUAUUUGAAGUAACAAAAUUCCCGUCAAUCGUGAAGAUUCGUUAGAUUUAGUGGUUUAUUUGUUGCUUGAAUUGAUAGGUCCCCCUAUAAAUUUCUGUCGGGCAGCAAUUAAAACAAUGAGAGAUCAUUUUAGCUCAAAUUAAUGAGACGAAAAUGUAGAUGUAGCUAAUUGUUGUACAACUACAUGCAAUUUAUAUUAGAAGCAUGACAAAUAAAUUUAUAACUUUAGUUUUUUUGUUUUUAAUUAGUUUAAGAGUUUAAUUAUUUUUUUUAUAUAUAAUAUGAGGUAAGUAUUUUUAUUUUUAUACCGUUAACUAAAUAAAAAUUAUUUUAGAUUUAAUUUUUAAAAUAGUUAGUACAGCAGUUGAUAAUUUUAUUAUAUAUAUAUAUAAUAAGUCAUAAUUAAAAAAAAUAAAAAUAUUUACAAUAUCAAUACAUUAUUAUUUUUUAUCUACAAUAAAUAUAUAUAUAUAUAUAUAUAUAUAUAUUAAAAGUACCAGAAGUGCUAAACAAUUACAAAAUAAUAUCAAUACAUUAUAAUUAAAUUUGUUUACAAUAAUGGUAAAUGAAAAAAAUAGCUGCACAAAACCGGAAGAACAACAUAAUAUUGGUUAGAAAAAAGAUUGGUAGACACCAAUCAUUACUUAACACUUAGAAAGGAAAAAGAGAGAGAAAAGAGGGAAUAAGGUGUAUCAUGAGUAAUAUAACAUGAGAAGAAGAUAGGAGAAAAAAUAAGUGUUUUUUUAUUAUAAAAUAAGUGUCAAUAGUGUGUAUAAUUGAUUUAAUUGAUUUUAUAAGAUGUAAGGUGUUCACGUCUAGUUUGAGAUAAAUAGCAUAAGUAUAUACUAAAUCAAAGUAAAGUGUGACGAAAAAGUUUUAUAAAUAUUUCAUUGAAAGGUAUACGAUGAAUAAAAAAACAACAAAUAACCACCUAAUAAAGACAUAAGCUAUCAAAGCUACAAAAAAUAACCACAAGCUAUCAAAGCCUAGUCAUCAAGAACGUGUUGAAGCUAAAUGUGAUACUUAAACACACAAGAUAAAAGUUUAAAUAGAAUUUUAAUUUUUAACCAUAAAUUAACAAGGCAGAAGACACCACCAAAAUUAAACAUGCAAAAGUUUAACCAUUAAGUGGAAGCCUAAGAAAGGCAAAACCUACAAUUGAGCCAAAUUAGGCUAAAUAAAAAGAAAAAAAACAAUCAAAGAAGAAAAUAACCAAACACUUUGAGAAUAAGAAGCUACAAGAAUAGCAUAAUAGGAAGAAAAAAACAAUUAAUGAUUCUUCACGUUCCGUUUAAAACCAAUCCAUCCAAGAAAUGCAAUAUCGGCCAGAAGUCAACAAAAAUGCUAUUUAGAAAACCUUUGUGAAAAAAUAAUAAAACUUAAACUCAGGUAAUAUUAUGGAUUUGAUAAAUAUAUCAAAUCGUACAAGUAUUUUUUUUAAGAGAUUUGUUCAAUCUUAACAAUUUAUAUACUUUUUACUUAUUAGACUAUGAGCAGAUGAUCCGGUUAAAUAACAAUGAUUAAGAUAUAUAGAAACUUGGUGAUGAAACACUAUAAAGGAUUUUUGUUAUCAAAGGUCUAGAUUGAGGAAAAAGUUUUGAAACAAUAAUAAUGAACGUUGGAGUUUGACUUUAUUAAACUACUUUUUCAUACACACAUAAGAUGUUAUAAAUGUUUAUCAUUCAUUUGUUAUCAUUUAUCACCAUCUCAUUUUUUUUUUCUCUCUUAAAAGAGUUAAAAAAAAUGUUAUACAAAUAAAAAUUGCCUUCUAUAUGAAUUAAUGUAGUAUGCAGUAGUAUAUCACAAUUAUAUAUCUGGGCAAAUUUCUUAUGCAUGUAAUUAAUGGCAGAAAAGUAAGGAAAAUCUAAUAUUAUUUGCAUGCUCAAUCGUAAUUCAGAUGGAAUUUUCUCGAUCAAAAUGGUGGAAAACUGUAAAAAAAAAAAUGUACAUGUUGGGUUUUUCAAUCCCAGGGGCAAACAUAUAAUAACAUAGUUAUGUCAUUUAUACGUGUGUUUGCGUGAAAAAAAAGAAGAGAGAAGCAUGACUAUGACUAGCUAGUUUAAUAUGGAAAAUGAUGAGUAUGCGGUUUCGAGGAUAGGAGGUGGAAAGAGAAAAAUAAAAAUAAAAAGAUAGGUAUAAAAAAGAAAAUAUAUGACAAUUAAGUAAUGUGUGAUAAAAAAAAGAAUGAUAAAACAAAUGAAAUGAAAAAGAUAUAAAGUACUACUAUAUAAAUAAAUAUACCGUCAUAUUAAUUUUAAAUAAUUUGUACAGUACCUUUUUAAAAAAUAAAAUAAUUGAUAAAGUACUAGAUUCACUCAACACUUAUAACACGAGUUUUUUUUUUUUUUUACAAACACACGCACAUUUAAUUAGAUGCUCCAAAAAUCUUUAUAGAUUUUUAUUUUUAUUUUUUAAUAUAAAUAUAAGUGAGAAUAUAACAAAUUCAGUUAUGAAUAAUAACAUUUGUUCAACUUUUUGAAAAAUUAAGAAUAUUCUUUUGGAACAAAUUUUGUCUGAUUAACUUUACUUUGCUUAACUUACAAGCAUCAGAUUUUAUUAAUUCAACUGCUAAUUUUUUUUUACGAAGUAGGCCUAAUCUGUAUAAAAAAAGGUUGAUUAAGUGGACCAAAUCUAUAAAUUUUCAUAAUUUAAAAAUUGCUUUUUUACUUAAUCAAUCAAUUUGUUUCAAUGGAUAAUAUACUUUUAACAAAUAACUAUGUGAAAUUACAUAUGUAUGAAAUUUCAGUUUAUUUAAAAUUUGACAUAUAUAUGUACCAUCAUCGAGAUGAUAUCAUAUAAUUUAACAGUUAGAUUAGUCAAAUUUAUAAUUUAGAAAAAGUUAUUGAGUAUUUAUAAUUUAUUAAUUUUAAGUAUGUGGUUACAGCUUGUUGCGUUGACAUUUUUAUCAAUAUUAAUGUUUUCUUUUUCCUUUCUUAUUUUUUUAUAAAUAUGUAAUAUAGUAUAAUAUUUUUCAUUUACUUAUAUUCAAAUAAUUUACUAUACAUUAAGAAUAAAAUGAUGCAAUCAAGUAUUAACUAAUUUUUAAAUAAAACGAGAAGUGGUAUUUAAAAUUUAAUAAAGUGUUAUGUUAACUGAUUAAUUUAUUUUUAAAUUAUUAAUCUAAGAGUUAGAUUUAUAAAAUAUAAUUUUCAUAAAAAGUUACAAGAUGA